UACGGAUGUUUUAUGAGGGACACGGGCGGUGCCGAGGUGGAAAUUUUCAUCCUGGACAUGGGCAGUGCCAAGGCGGACCCACUUGAUGCCGAUGUGGAAAUUUUCAUCCUGGACAUGGGCAGUGCCAAGGCGGACCCACUCGACGCCGAGGCGGACGAGGUGGACUCACUUGAUGUCGAGGCGGCCAUGGGCGGUGCUAGUGCCGAGACAUAAGCUGGCGAUGUCGUGCCGGACAUCCGCACGGCGGUGUGAAGAAUAAUGGCGGACAUUGGCGGUGGCGGUGGGGAAGUCAGCGUGGACAUUAGAACAAAGGUCGGUGUCGGUUUCGAUGCCGGUGGUGGUGUCCGAACCUUGUUGAGAACAAAGGGGCUCCAAAUUUGUGUUCCUACGCAAAAGCUUCCUUCUGGUGCUGGCAUCAGAAGGAACGUCUGAAGGCAAAGAAUCAGAGAAAGAGCGUCAGACAAAAGCACGAGAUGGACUACUACAAGGGUAAGGGUGCACGACUGAGGGAAGGAGGAUUGAUUAAUCGAUUGAUCGAUUGAUCCAUAGAGAAAUUGCAGAGAGUCGACAAGGCAUCACCCACCCCACCCCUCCCCCCUCCCCCCGCCCAAGAAAAUUCAUCGGAGCAACAAUUCGAUUCCGUUACGCUAGCUAUAGACAGACAGAUACCCUCUGCUAACAAUGGAUGGGAUGGAUGGACGAAGGGUUUACCAAGAUGUUAAAUCAACAACAAAUAUGCCCAACAUCUCAUCAAAACCACCAUCCUUGUUCUUCGACACUCCAAAAAAGGAAUUUAAAAUUAUAAAAAUAUAAAUAGAUCCUUCAUCCGAGAGAGACCUGAUUUGAAAUAAGGGCGUCCGCCCUGCCAUUCUGACCCCCUACCCACGUCUCGCCGUAGACGGAGACGAGCACGCUGCCGGUCCGGUAGGGCAUGCACUUGAACUCGGCAAUUUCGUGGUAGCACGGCGGAAGGGAGGUGAGUUUGGCAAGGAUGGCCUCCUUGCCCUUGAUCUCCCGGCCGUCGAAGUUCAGCACCGACUCUUCCCGGUACAGGUUCACCAAGCCCGCCCGAUUCGUGUCGAACGUCCUGUAGUAGUUCACCAUGAACCGCUUCGCCUCCUCCGCCCGACCCAUGUCUUCUGGCUUGACCCUCCACAUCUCUUCCUCUUCCUCUUCCUCUUCCUCUUCCUCCUCCUCGUUCUGUGCGCGAUUCAGAGAGAAAUCCCUAGCGCCGAUUCUUCUUCCAGAGUUCCCUUCCCUUUAUAUAUUUUGGAAUCGGUUGGGUCCACCUACCGACCCGGUUUCUUGUCGUGGCCCAUGUAAUCCCAAAAGCCCCUAUAUAAAGUCAUCGUGGCCUUUGACCAAAAAAAUAAAAAUAAAGAGGGAUGACAACGGGCUUUUCCUUCCCCUAAAGGCCUAGAGGACCGUCCCUGAUGAGCAUCGACAGCGGCAAGAUCACUUUCAAGGACAGAUUUUUAGCAUGCUUGGAGGUUGUUAUCAGCAGUAGUGUAUAGUUGGAGAAGACGACAAAAAUAAUCUCUCGACUUCAAUCUAACGUGUAACGUGAUUUCUAAAUUCUAAAGUUGUUCAAUGUGAUCAUUGAAUUUUAGUUCAACGUCUAUUAUCAUUCAUGAAUUUUUAAUUUAUUUGAUGUGAUUUAUGAACUUUUGAUAUAUAUUUAAUCUAAUCAUUCGACUAUGUGAAAAUAUUCAUUAUUGUCCAUGAACCUGAAUUAAUAAAAAGAUAACAUUGAAUUUUUUCAUAUACUUCAAGUAUUAGAUUGAAUAUGUAUCAAAAGUUUAGGGAAUAUACUAAACAAAAUAAAAGUUUCGGGACAACAUGCACAUUAGGCUAGAUUUCAUGGGGUAUAUUGAGUAAAUUCAAACUUCAUUGACCACUUCAAAGUUCAAAAGCCAUUUUGUAUAAUUAUCCCAAUUAGCUGUGAGAAAGACACGAUGAUCAAUUGCUAUAUUUAUGGUUCAUUCUAAAUCUUAAAGUGUAUUUGUUUUACCGAAAACUUAUAAUGAAUGAAUAUAUUUUCCCCUUGGGAACAUUUUCAAGGAAAAUGCUUAAUUUUUAUUUGUUUGGUGAUUUACGAAAAGUGGUUUCUUUCUUACUAUAAGGGAAAGUAAUUUUCCCUUGAUCUGAGCUUAUUAUUUUAAGUUUAUGGAAAACGUUUUGCACAAAUCGAUUAGUUUUCGAUCAUUCAAACACAAGAAAGUUCGAAAAUAAUAUUUCCAAAACAAUUUCCCUUCAAAUAUAAUAUUUCUGAUGUAAUUUUCACGUCGACAACCGGCAUUAAGCAAGAGGAAAAUGACAAGCAUGAAGCACAUAGACUAUUACGCACAAUCACGAUCUAUAUGAAUAUAGAUUGUGGCGACAAACAUGUUAAAUCAAAGUCGUAUCCCCGGAAAAAAAAAAAGUACGGCAAAUCAUCACGACUUUUGGUUCGGUUCAUCCACUUCAUCGCCACAAAACAUGACCCAUCGCCUACGUGGAGCCAUGUGUCGGAUUCUAAAUGGUCUUACCCUACGCCUACGUGGAGGGUAAGACCCACCAAAUAUUUUCUUGGAAACAUGAGCAAUGCAAAAGAAAGAGAUCCGAAAGCGGGGCCACAAUUGCCACGUGUUGAUCGGUAGAUGUUUUGUUAUAAAUCCUACGUGGCACAUUAAAUACACCCAGUAUUCUGUCGUCGUCUUCUUCUCUCCCGUCCAUGCAUGCCCUAUACAAACGUACACCCGCACAACCAUAACCAGACGGUCCUUAUCCAUAUCUCCCUCUCUCUCUCUGAAACACCGCCAUCUCCAUCCUCAUCUUCACUUUGAAACAGCUCCACCGCCAUCGAAACCUGCCUCCGGCCAUGGAUUUCAAAUGCUCCGCCUCCGACCUAGCCUCGCUCGCCAACUCCACCGCGCCCCCCCCCCCCCCCCCCCCCCCCCCCCGGGGAAUCCGACAACGCCCUCCUGGCCACCUUCUUCUGCAGCCGCCUCGACGCCAUCUCCAACAAGUUCGCCGACGCCGCCCACGCUGUCGACAGCACCUACUUCCUCUUCUCCAUGCAGCUCGGCUUCGCCAUGCUCUGCGCGGGCUCCAUCCGCGCCAAGAACACCAUGAACAUUUGGCUUCGCCUUCGGGUCUCCCUCCAACGGCUUCUUCGGCCUCAAGGAAGUCCCCUCCGCCUCCGUGGACUACAGCUUCUUCCUCUACCAGUGGGCCUUCGCCAUCGCCGCCGCCGGCACCAUCAGCGGGUCCAUCGCCGAGCGGACCCAGUUCGUGGCCUACCUCAUAUACUCCUCCUUCUUGACGGGGUUCGUCUACCCGAUAACCUCUCACUGGUUUUGGUCCGGCGACGGCUGGGCCAGCCCGUCCCGGUCCGACGGCAACCUCUUGUUCGGGUCGGGCGCCAUCGACUUCGCCGGGUCGGGCGUGGUCCACAUGGUGGGAGGGAUAGCCGGCUUCUGGGGAGCCCUCAUCGAGGGCCCGCGCCUCGGCCGGUUCGACCAGGCCGGGCGGGUCGUGGCCCUGCGGGGCCACAGCGCGUCCCUCGUGGUCCUCGGCUCGUUCUUGCUGUGGUUCGGGUGGUACGGCUUCAACCCGGACUCCUUCCUCACCAUCCUAAAGACGUACGACGGCGCCGGUGGGGCGGACGGCAGUCACCACCACGCUGUUCGGCAAGCGGCUGCUGGUGGGCCACUGGAACGUCACCGGCGUGUGCAACGGCCUGCUCGGCGGGUUCGCCGCCAUCACGUCGGGUUGCUCCGUGGUGGACCCGAGGGCCGCCAUCGUGUGCGAGUUCGUGUCCGCGUGGGUGCUCAUCGGCUGCAACAAGCUCGCGCAGCUGGCCAAGUUCGACGACCCGCUCGAGGCGGCGCAGCUCCACGGGGGCUGCGGCGCGCGGGGGCUGAUCUUCACGGGCCUCUUCGCGCGGCGGUACGUGGACGAGGUGUACGGCCGUUCCGGGCGGAGGUACGGGUGGCUCGCGGGCGGCGACGGGCGGCUGCCGCCGGCGCAGGUCGUGGAGGUCCUGGCGAUCGCCGGGUGGGUGACGGCCACGAUGGGCCCGCUCUUCUACGGGCCCCACAGGCUGGAGCUGCUGCGGGUGUCCGGCGACGACGAGAAGGAGGGCAUGGAUCUGACGAGGCACGGCGGGCUCGCCUACGUCUACCACGACGACGGCGGCGACCAGCCGAUCAUUAUCCCUCCCGACGGGAGGAGGGUGGAGCCCACGGAUCGGAUGAUCGGAACGGCACGCCAGCCGUCUGAUCCAUCCUCGGGGGGGAGUGGGGCCCACAUAAGUGCGUGGGCUUUGGACGGCUGCGAUUCGCUUUCAGGACGAUCAGGGCUUUGUCAAGAAACGCGCGGGCGUCCCAUCCCAUGUAUUUACGGCGUUUUGUCGUCAUCUCUCUCUCUUAUUUCCUUUUCUUUUCUUUUCUUUGGACUAAUCCUCAAAUCGAUAAAAUAAAAAUAAAUAAAUAAAUGGCGAGGAUAACCUAUUGAUGCGAUUUAGGUUGUAAAUUUAAUGUGAAAAUUAUAUCGAAAAUAAGGGUUUUCCUACUCUCUCUCUCUCUUGGCGGGAAAUUGAUAAGAAUGUUGUGAUUCUUGGUUGUGCAUUCUUCUUGCUUUGGAUUAUUUCUUGGAAUUUUGUGGACAUGAAAUUAAAGGUCGUGCUCAAAUUGUACGACCAAAAAGGAGAGAUGUUGGUAUGCGUGUGCAUGGGCAAGCACAAAUCUCGAAGAGGACCAUUGAAAAGAUUUUAAAACAUAGGAGUCGCGUUCUCAUCAAGAUAGAUCUUAAUUGGAUCAAUACAUCAGCAUGUCGUUGAACCUCAAGACCCUUUCGAUGCUGCAUAUCCAAAAGAUCAUUGUUGCAUUGGAUAAGAUCGAUUUUGUUUAGAUGCUCUUGUGAUGAACAUCCCUCUCGACUAACGUGAUGUAAUGCGGGAAUAGUUCUCGCUGCGAGGAGUUGCCGUAGGCAAUGAAGUGAAAUCGCAAUGGGGAGGACUUGGUUGGUCUAACUUGAGCUGCCCAUUUAUGUUAGAGCGUCAUGCGUAAUGUUUCUCUUUCAAAUGCUUGAUCGAUCAUUCAUUUUUUUUUCAUUUACAUGGUAUACAUAACUCGCACUAUAUUUAUAUAGAGAAUCAUUUAUUUAUUUAUUUAUUUUCUCAUGAAUCUCCAUAUUACAAAAGGAUUUUUUUUUUCAGUAAAUGUGUCGCAAUUAAUUACUCCUAUAUAUUUUUUUGUAAAUAAAAAAAAAUUAGAUUUUCUUCCUUAUUUACUAUGGCGAUGUAAAAUAUACAAUAUAAAUAUUUAAACUCACUAAAAUUCCCAUAAUUGAAAAGAAAAAUAUAAUAUAUAUUUCCCAUCCAAACCAUCGAAAUUUCCAAGGAAUAACCUCCGAAGAGGCAGAGCCGGUAUUCACCUGGACAGUGCAAUUGAUUUUCGAGCGAAGAAAAAUAAAAAAAAACGCAAUCACUCUCUCCUCUCCUCCCUCGGAUACUCCCUCUCCUUGAUCGAGAUCAUCACCGUCGACUUACACAUGGGCCCAAGCCACCACGUGUAGUCUCGCGAUUGGCCAUGAUGAGAUCCUCCGUGACCGCCUCAUGCUCCUCUUGAAGAAAGCUCUUGCAUGCAGCAUGUAGAAGGAGAAGAGAAAAAAAAAAUGGGGUUGAAGAGAAGUGUCUGCGGAUUCUUCAACAGUGCGAACAAGAUCGACAAGCACUUCUCCAAGGCAUUCACAGCGCUCAAAAAUGCUAUUCAUCGAGCGCCACGGAGCUGAGCUUCGACAUCUGCAGAGUUCAUGCUGUACCAACCUCAACUCUUUUCUUUGACACCUAGUUUAUCAAUUAAGUCUCGUUUGAGUUUGUUUUCAACCACUCUAUUUAUCCUCGUGACGACGGGCUCCCUCUCCUUUCCCUUGCCCCUGCUAUCACGGCAUUCUAAUAACUUGAAGUUCCCCGCUCCUGCUCCUGUCGAGUGAAAAGCCAAGCACACAUGGUGGAUCACGUGAGCAUAAUGAAUGAAGUCGAAGCGAAAAGUACUGUGACUCACUCACGAAUACGUUGUCUUGGAAAUCGCGGUCACGGUCGAGACUGUGGGUCGAGCAACUGGUCCGUUCUUGAUUUUCUUUUUCCUUUUCAUCGAGUUCUUUCUGAUCUAAUGCAGGUAGGAGGUUCAGCAGCCCCAGCACCCACACCAGCAGCGACGGGGGUGGCUCGACUCGACUAGAAACUUUCUACCUAUUGUUCCACGUAUUGUUCGGUUUACUGAAGCUGCUGAUAAUCCCGCGUUCCCAAUCGGGAUGAUCAGGUCUGUGAGCCUGUAUUGGGUGUACUGGUACUUGUACAUCGGUUCCAAGACUCUUGAAGUUGCUUCUUUGGAUGAACUUUUCUCUUGUACCUUAGCUGGUCGUUAAUCUGUGCUUAGCAGUGUGCUUUGGAAUUGUACGAAGGGAUCACCCAAGAUGUUAAAUCAACAGCAAAUAUGCCUAACAUCUCAUCAAAACCACCAUCCUUGUUCUUCGACACUCCAAAAAAGGAAUUUAAAAUUAUAAAAAUAUAAAUGGAUCCUUCAUCCGAGAGAGAGACUUGAUUUGAAAUAAGGGCGUUCGCCAUGACAUUCUGGCCCCCUACCCACGUCUCGACGUAGACGCAGACGAGCACGCUGCUGGAUGCGCGGUAGGGCAUGCACUUGAACUCACACUGUAAAAUGGGAAUUUCCAAGUAACACGGGCUUUGCAGGAUUGAGCACCAUAAAGGAAGACUGAAAUUUACUAUGAAAUAGAACCAUGUGGACACAGAGAAAGAUCUUGAGGCUGAGCUCCAAAUAUAUAGGCCCAUAAAGGUACGAACUUUGAUACAUUAUGUUAUAGGAUCGAUGCAUGUACACGGUGUAAACCAAAAGGAUACCCCUAGACCCUUAUUGAUACACGGGGUAUGGAAGUUUGAUACAUGAUUUAUGUGGCCAUGGGCUCUUAGCUAACUAAGGUGGUGUGAUUCUCUCAUGGUGUUAGUAUUAGUUUGAUAAUUAAUUUAUGGUGCCAUCAUGAAUUGAUUGAUGGCAUAAAACAUAUGCUUAAAUGAAUCAUGAUUCCAUACUUCAAAAUUCUUGUAUAGAAGAAUUUAACCUUUUUUCACAAUGAAAUCAUGAAAAUUACUGGUGUACUUAAGAGAAAAAGGAACUUGCUAAAUUUGCUCGUUCAGUUUCAUCCAUUCAAUACAUUGGCAAUAGCUUUAUCUUCUUCUUCGGCUGAUAAUAAUAAAGUAAAAGAAAGGAACAAUUGAUUGAGAAUUACUAAAAUUAUUAAUUUCUAAUCAUGCACGAAUUUUUAGUUCAAAAAAAAAAAAUCAUGCAUGAAUUUUAUAAUAUUUGGGUAUAUUGGGCAAGGUAAUUCGCAAAAUUUAAUUGUGGUCGAUGUGUUUUCUAUUUGAUGAAAAUUAUGGGUAUAUUGGGCAAGGUAAUUCGCAAAAUUUAAUUGUGGUCGAUGCGUUUUCUAUUUGAUGAAAAUUAAGGAUUGCCUUCCUUUACUUAUCCAGAUAAGUGACUUUUUUGCCUAUUUGAAUUAAUUGAAUCUACAAGUCCCUCACCAAUAUCAUUAUGUAUAAAUACAUCAGAAAUCUGCCGACCCAAUAAAUAAUCACAAAUCGGAAAAAUUCAAGAUUUCACGUUCCCGCCUUCGCCUCGUUGCUUUCCUUCUCGCCGCCGCUGUGUCUCGACCUCCAUCGCCGCCCUCCUCUUCCCCGAUCGCCACCCGACUAGACCGCUGUACGAUUCUUGGGUUUUUGGCGGCGGAUUGUGGCUCGACUCCGGCCUGUUUCAGACCCUCUCUCGCUUUCCGCCCUCCUCUUCCCCGAUCGCCACCCGACUAGACCGCUGUACGAUUCUUGGGUUUUUGGCGGCGGAUUGUGGCUCGACUCCGGCCUGUUUCAGACCUCUCUCGCUUUCCGCCCUCCUCUUCCCCGAUCGCCAUCCGACUAGACCGCUGUACGAUUCUUGGGUUUUUGGCGGCGGAUUGUGGCUCGACUCCGGCCUGUUUCAGACCCUCUCUCGCUUUCCGCCCUCCUCUUCCCCGAUCGCCACCCGACUAGACCGCUGUCCGAUUCUUGGGUUUUUGGCGGCGGAUUGUGGCUCGACUCCGGCCUGUUUCAGACCCUCUCUCGCUUUCCGCCCUCCUCUUCCCCGAUUGCCAUCCGACUAGACCGCUGUCCGAUUCUUGGGUUUUUGGCGGCGGAUUGUGGCUCGACUCCGGCCUGUUUCAGACCCUCUCUCGCUCUCCAGUCGCUCUCCCGUCGAGAGCCGCCAUGGAAUCUGCAAACUUGGCCGCUUUCUUUGGUGGCCAAUUUUACUUUUCUUUCGACUCUAGUCGUCUGUAUGUGCCGCUUUAUUACGGGGACACGUCAACUGCGGUUUAUGAUGGUCACGUUGCCUCUGGCCUCCAACAUAUAGAAGCUCUUUUCUUUUCGGAAUAUUUUGCCGACAUCUCCCAUCUGAUCACCCGUAUGUCAUCGUCAACGGACUCAAUUACAGGUCGGCAUUCUUUCACCUUCGCCGGUGUCAUCCGCAUCGGCGAAGAGUUCAGAGACUUUGAGGAGGUAUGCUAUCUUUCUCUCUUUCUUGGUUAAUUUGAUAUUAAUUUUUGCGAUUUGAAGAUGAAAAUGUCGAUUCUGCUUGGUGUGGCUCAAAUGAAUCUUGAAAUUAUAUUGAGCUUUUUUAAUGCCAAAUUCUUUGGCAAUUGCGUGAAUAUCUGGUAAUUGUAGUCUUUGAUAUUUGCAAGCUUCAAAUUUGAUAUCUUUUAAAAAUCUUUUAAGUUAUUUUAGCUCUGAUAUAUAUUUCUUUUUAGAUGUUUUUCUCUCCUCUUUCUUUCGUAUUAAUUUGAUAUGGAGGGGCUGCUAUUUUCUUUUUUUCUUGUAUUAAUUUAAUACUUAUUUUUUCCCUUUAGAUGUUUAUUACGGAGGGGCUGCUGAUCCCUCCUUGGAAUGGACAGAUCGUAUACAGCAACUUCCGUUCAUCUCCACGGCAAGACCCAUUACCUUAUCCCAUGCCGGUGCCGCCAGUGCAAGAGCUGGCUGGAUUAUACCCAAACUCCCCGGUAUAUCCAAUGCCAAUGACAUUCCCACCACCAUUCCCUCACGAGGGCGCACAACCGGGGCCAUUCCCUCAGCAGCCUGUGCAACCGGCAGGGAAUCCAUUCCCACUAGCUGGCGAGGCGGCCGAGAGUCAAGGCAGCCACCAUCCAGCGAACCCAGACGCGUGACGGAACAUAUUUUUGUAUUCAUCAGCCAGAAGAUAGCUCUUUUUGUAUUCCCACUGUUGCAAUGGAUAGUGAUGGUAGCGUAAAACUGCAAGCAAUAAGCAUUGCAGAAUAGGACAUGGGUCAAUGGGUCGCUUUUGGAGGUCUACCAACGGAUAUGGUCACAAUUUGUGAUAAUGUCACCUCUCAAAACAGAAUUGCAUUUGACUGCACGAUCUAUUUUGACAGAGCUUUCCAGCAAAAAAAAAAAGUGAUGUUCUAGUUGUUGCCCAUAUCCGAAGAACUGUCUUACGAUGAAAGUAAUAGUCCUGCCAGGGAAAUGCAGUGUCUCGUCUAACGAAGUUCGAAAAAGCCGGAGGUUCAUGCUCCCUUUCACUCUCCAGGCUAAUUCAGUCUAUUAUUAGAUACAGGUAGAGGUUGAAUUAGGUUCAAUCUAAAAGUAAUGGUUUUGCAUCAUCUCACCAGAGCAGAAGGUGCCUGGUAAACAAGUGGGGUCUGCAUUUGUUGAUAGGCUUCCUGCAUACUUCCAUAGACUUGCCCCAGACUUGCGUUGUUACCCAUGCAUUUACGAGCAGUUGAUGCAAGCCCAUUCCGAAGUAACUGCAUGGCAUAAACAUAUUGCAAAAAGCCAGACACUAAAGAUCUCCAAAGAUGGAAAGGGCUGAGCCAAGGCCUACAUCUCUUUCGCGAUCAAUAGCACCAGCAAGUUGGUAUAUGAUUCAAGCCAAGCUACCUUCGGAGUUCAAAAUAGCAUCAGUAAGAAUAGCGAAAGACGAGGACUCGAUUAUCGAUGAAGAAGAAAGGACUGAAUUCCAAUUCACUAAUUAGGAGGUGAUGGAGUUAGAAAAACUCACAGUGCAUAACUCCAAAAAUCUCAAAACAAUUAAAAUAUCAGCUAAAAUUAAUCAUAGACCUGACUAUAAGGUUUUGGUCGAUGGAGAAUCCACAUUGAACCUUAUUCCAUACGGCUCAGGUCUUCUACUUUUCGUGAUGCGUACUUUGCUGCUUUAUCUUCGUGUUACCGAUCUUGAUUGUGAUUGUUUAUUUAUUUGGUUGCCCAUUCAUGCAUGGUCACCACGUAGUGGUUUAAGUUUUUAAAAUGGAAGAAGAUCACAUACAAAUAUUUCAGAAAAAUGAGAACAAAAUGGUGCCUAAUUAGACUUAGUGUAACCAAGUCCAAAUUUUUAGGAUCUCUGGUUCAUGGAAAGUACAAUGAUUUCUCAUAUUUCACUUGACUCCGUCAACCUAGAAUAGGUUAGUGGUGAUUCUCAAAAGCAAAAGAACAUGUUAAUCAUAAUGACCAAAUUAACCAAAUGUCGCGAAUUAAUACCCGCUUAGCAUAACCUCAUACGAGGCUUCGAUUGUUCUCACAUGGCAAGUCAUCAUUGUAAUUGACGCCCUGUCCAUCCUCCGAGGGAGGCUCGCGCCUAUACAUACUAGCAAAAAAAAAAAUUAAACAGAUUAGCAUAUCAUUGAUUAUGUUUGAAGACAUGAAUCAUUCUAGAAGAUGAGACUGUAAAAUGAAAAUUAUUUGAAGGAUAAAAACGUGCUUGAAAAUCAUAACUAAAGAGAAAAUCUUUGAAAAAAAUGGUAUUUUAGUGAACAUGAUUUAGAUGGAAAUAAGAUAAGCAUACAUUGACACUAUUAUAAAUCAUAGGGAAAAAUGUUUGAAAAGUCAACCUAUUACAUUUUGGUUAAUUUAGUCCUAAUUUUUUUAAUUUUAUCAAUUGAGUCCUAAAAUCUUCUUAUAUUUUGCCAAUUGAGUCAUUUCGGCUAAUUUUAGCCAAAAAUCGUUGACGUAGAUGCUGGGGUAUCCUACAUGGUAUGGUCAGCAUUAACGUUGACAAUUUUAUAAUUUUUUAAAAAUUUCCAUUUUUUUAUUUUCUUUCAUUGUUUCUUUUUCUCUUUUUUCUUCCAACCCCCAUGAGGGUAGGCCAACCCUCAUCGGUCAAGGGCAAGGGAAGUGACCCUUGCCCAAUGGCUAACAAGGGUUGGUGGGACCCUCGCCGAACUUGAUUGAAAAAAAAAAGGAAAAGAAAGAAGAAAAGAAACGAGAUAAAUAAUAAUAAAAAUUAUAAAAAAUGUUCACUUCAGUGUUGGUCAUCCUAUGUGGCACUACCGGUGUCCAUUUCGUCGAUUUCCAGUUAAAAUUGGCUGGAUGGUUUCAUUUGGCAAAACGUGUAAAGGUUUAUUAUUCAAUUAGCAAAAUUGAAAGAUUUAAAACUCAAUUGACUAAAGUACAAUAGGUUUAAGACUUUUUUGAUGAUUGUUCCAUAAUUUAUAAUUAUCUCAACUCUUCCAAAUUUCCAAAUUUCCGUUAAAACUAGGGGUGAGCAUCAAGGGUAGAACCUAGAACCUGAGAACCAAAAUGAUGUGGACUUGUUUGGCUCCAAGUUCCAAGGUAUACAGAGUUGAUUUCAAAUUCUAAAAAUUUAGGAACUUGUUUUAACGGAUAGGUUGCAAGUUCUAGAUUGGUGGUACUUAGAACUUAGAACCUAGAAUUUGGAAAAAGUUUCUAUAUUUUUCUUAGUUUAUAUUUUCACACAAAACUUGCGAUACUCUAUUGUAUUUAAUAAUGAGUGUAUAAUCUGAAACCAUUAGUCUGAACUUCCAUUUUAUAACUAAGACUUUUACAUUGUUAAUGUUUUAUAUUUUUUCGUGUGUCUAAAUAUAAGUUAUGAUCAGUAAAUUGUAACAAUAAGUGGUAGUAAUUAAAGAUUAUAAUUCAUUGUAAUCAUUCAAUUUAUAAUAUAAGUGGAACAUAAGUAGACCAUGGAACCAGACCGAGAACCUGUAAUGGGGUAAGUUCUAGGUUUCAACGUAUAAACGGUAGAUUUCGGGUUCCAAAAACUGAGGAACCUAUUUUAACAUGAAGGUUUUAAGUGGAAUCUGUAUAGAACCUAGAAAUGUUUACCCCUAAUCAUAAUGAUAAUCAUAUUUUGACUUAUUAUAUAUAGGAUGGACCAUCAUUAUCGUAUUUUGGAAAAUGGUUUCUGAUUUAUUUAAAGAGGAAGUCCAUUUUUUGUAUUUAAAUAAAAUUUUCUUGGUAUAUGUAAAGAUUUUCUAUUGACUCAAUUUUAAAAUAAUCCAAACACUGCAAACAAGGAAAAUAUUCCUCAAUAGUAAAUUUUUACUGAGACAAUUGGUUUUUAAAUGUUAAGUACAUCAAAUGGGACCAUAAUUAUGCAUUAGAAUGUGGAAACUAUUCAUCCAUAGUCGUACCGUCCAAAAAAAUGUAUCCUUAUUUGGUUAUAUUCGAUCGCACUCACUCUUCGGUUUUCGUACAAAUGCAAUAAAUUGACUCGUAUUUAUAUAUUUAACAAGUUGACAUUGAAUUGCUAAUUAUCAAUUACACAUCUCACGGCAAAAAGUUAGUGCACUACAUUCGUACCUUUUAACAAAAUCCUAUUUGUAUAUCACCAGAUUGAUUCGUCUAAUUACUGAAGUUGAUUAAUGAGAUAAUACUUUUUAAAAAGAGUAAAGAUUGAAAGAAUUAUAAUAUAGCUAUCUUGCAACUCCUCCGGUCAUUGAUGAAGCCAUCGAAGUACAUAUAUCUUAAUUAUCAUCAUUAGAGAUAAGUACUUUGUAAAACGUCCUUACAUCAUAUAUCAGUGUAUAUAUUAUCUUAAUAUGGGUUAAUAUAUUUAUCAUAAGUUUGAAAUGACGUCAAAGUGUUGGGAAGCUACUUGACCAUACGGUUCACUAAUUAAGGAGGAACUAGGCAAAACUAUAGUAGUUCUUGCCAAGUUCGGAAGAACUAUAAUGUGUUUAAAUGAGAAAUUUAUAUCAAGCACCAACUCAUCUGAUAAUGGAAGCUUGGUGACGUAGCUGUGGUCUUCUACAUCCAAUUUCUGUCAAGCCCUUCUCAAAAGCUACUUACAUUCAGCACACAUAUGUUACCUAACUUCAUCAAAUAAAUGUAAGUUGUAAUCAAUACCGACUGUAUGGCUAAACCAAAUGUGUGUUGAAGAACAAAUCUACAAAAUAUAUGAUUAAACACUCUAACCAUAUUUACCAUGAAGAGUUUCAUAAAGUAACACAAACUUUGCUUAAAUAGUCUCUAAAAGGACAAAGGAGACAACCAGAGUAAUUCACAAACUUUGCUUAAAUAGUCUCCAGAGGACAAAGCAAACAACCAAAUAUAAAUUUCUAACUUCAGCUAUAUCAUAUACUAUUAUUUAAAAUCAUGGGCAUUUCCAUUAGAUUUCAUAAGUGAUCCCUACUUUGAGCAGCCUCUUGUGGGGAACGUUGAACACGUCCUCUGGCUGCCUCACGCACCUCUUCAACCAGUUGUACAGGCAAUUGAUUACAAACCUUUUUGCAAAGCCUGAGCCCCUCGAAGCUUUCACCUCACUCUGUCCCAUUAGAUACAUGAUCCCUCCAAUCUUGAUUGCUUCAUCCACCAAUCCAAUCUCUCUUUGCACUCCCUCUUCAUUGAUCAUCGCGAUUCCAUGGUCACUGGCCUCACCUCGCUCGUCGGCGUAGGGUGCGUUGUUGUGAAUGAAAUCCUUCAAUUGGUCAAUCAAGACCUUCUCGAAGAAUUGCGGCUCUAUUUUUGCAUCUCGAUAUCCGUAUCUCACAACGCACCGGUACAUGCCCGACACCUGCGGCUCCACCCGUCGAAAGAAGAACCGCUCCUCGAGGGGCACGUUGCUUAUGGGUAGUGACUUGAUUGAGACGAAGACAAGGACUGAGUGCAAUGCAGGUACAUCGGCGACAUAUUGAGCGAAUAUUGGGGAAAUCCCAUGGACAAGCUCGGUGUAGAAUAGGGCGACCCCGGGGGACCGGUGGAUCGUGUUUGACAUGAUUGUGACAAGGGCUUCUCUUGAUACCUUGUUCUCAAGCUGAAACUCAUACUUCUUUCGAUAUCCGUAAUUCCAUAGCAACAUAAUGGUCAUCAUCACGGCAGCGAAGAAGAGUGGGACGUAACCCCCAUCCAAGAAUUUGUAGAGGACUUAGCUUAGAAACACGUACUCUAUGAGCCCGAUGGUGAGGACAUAGAGGAUUACGAGGAGUAUGUUGGUCUUCCAAGUCAUGACCAUCACGAUAACGAGGAAUGUGGACGUGAUAGCGAAAACAAAUGCUACCGCAAUUCCUGCAGUAGAGAUUCCCGAAUAAAUGUGAAUUUUUCUUUCAAUAAUCCCAAUUAAAUAGCUUAAUCAAUUAGGGAAUUUGCAUAAGUGGGCUAAAUGUGUGUAUACAGUGUGAUCCUUUUUGCUUACCGUAAGCAUUGCCCAACUUCAAUGUGGUUUUGAAGCCAAGAGUGACUCCAACACAGGUCAACAUGAGGAGGGUGUUGACCUCAGGUAUGUAAAUCUGACCCUCGUGCUUUCGCGAAGUGUGCACGACCUUCACGUUUGGGAAGCACCCGAGCGCGACUGACUGCUUAACUAUGGCAAACGUGGCUGAUAUCAUGGCUUGACUUGCUAUUGUCGCCGCCAACACCGCAAUCACAAACAUUGGCCAAUACACCGAUUCUGCAUCAAACCAUCAGAUAAAUUCAUUCGAUGUCCCAACAGGAUAAAUGAUGCAUCGGAUGAAGUAGCAUGAGGAAGCUUACUGGGUAGUGAGCUGUAGAAAGUGCUAGCAACAUUUUCACUGUGCUUUCGGAGAUAUGCCGCUUGACCAAAGUAGGCGAGGAUGAUUGAAGGAAGGACAACUAGGCAUGAACUCAAUUGAAUUGAGAGGAUAUUAAAGUGCCCCAGAUCAGCAAACAAUGCUUCAGAACCUAUAAUCAAAGGCUCAAAGAGUAAAACCACAAUUAAUUCUUCAAAAGAAGUUAUAUAUCUUGGUUAAAAUGAAAUAAGAAUUAACUAAUAGAUGAAUCAUUUAAAUGAUGUUUAGCUAUAUGUUUUCAGUUAUAAUAAUUAAUCGAUGAAAAGAUUCAGAUGUUUGGAUUACCAGUGAGGCAAAGAAUCACCCCUCCAAGAGAAAUCCAUGCUUCCUUUUUGUUUCUCAUGAAGUAAUGGACGAUGCAGAGCGGAUUGACGGCUUUGAUCACUCCCGAGUCAUGUUUCGCGAUAUUAUAGAUGCCAAUUAGUCCGAUACCAAGGAACCAUAUAGAGAGAAUCGGGGCAAAACUGUAUCCAACUUUGUGAGUCCCGAACCUUUGGACUUGAAACAGAAGGAUCAAGAUCACCACAGAGAUCCACAUUAUUUGAUUUUCUCCAAGUGAACUUGCAGCUCCUUGUAUUCCCCCAACAGCCGACAAUACUGCCCCCAGAGAAGAAGAAAAGAAUCAGAACCAUCUAUCAAAAUUCAACCGAGAGAAGUAAUUGUAUCAAUAAAUAAGCCGAGAAGAUGUAUAUUGUUGUUUUAUACUACCGAUUGAAUGUGCUGUCUCAUUUCCUUCGUAGAUUAAGGGAAAAGUUAGAAACCUAUUGGUGCAUCCUUUUCUUUUAAAAAAAAAUCUUAAUGAAAAUAUUACUACCGGAUAUGCAUGGUGUAAGAAUUCCAUCUCCAAUGACCAUGGCGGUGCCCAGAAUAGUUACAAAUAAGAGCAAGUACUUGGCUGCUUCACUAUUCUCGAGAAAUGAUUUCAUGGCGGAGGCCCGCCGGAAGCGGCGGCUCGGCACCUCAAGUCGGUAGUUCAAGACUUCCUUGUCUUCAGCUUGUUGGUUAGGGGUCAAGCUUGCCUUAGCAUAGCGGCACAUUAGAGAGUACAAAGCAAACGUCCCUCCUAUAUUGUUAUAGCCAAAAACCUAACUACAUUAGUGCAAUAUUUGGUAUAGACAAAAAAAAAUAAAACCCUUGUAUGUCAAAUAAAAUUUUGUGGUAUAAUGGUGUGAGAGGAAUCGCUUACCAUCCCCAUUGUCAUUUGCCGAUAAAACAAUGAAGACAUACUUGAUCAAGCCAAUGAGGAUGAUCGAAUAGAAGAUUAGAGAUACUGCUCCAAGGAUAUCGUCUUCAUGUUUUAUCCCGUCAGGAAAAAUUCCUGACAUGACAUAGAGAGGCGAUGUGCCUAAAUCGCCGUACACCACCCCGAUGCUUUGAAUAGCAAGCUUCAAUAUCAUCACCCAUGCCAAAUUCUGCACUUAGAAAGACAGUAACCAAAUCAUGAUCAUGAAAGCAUUUCCUUAUCUUCAAACCAAGGAGUACCCUGAAUUUUUUUUUUUUUUCCAAGCGGAGUAUUUUUCAUGAAAGAAAAACUUUAUUCUUUCUUUUUGAUUUUUCAGGGAACGAGAAGAACACUGACCUCUUUGGAGGAAUAACCAUGGUCCGACUUGAAUCGGGAGGUCUCUAUGUCGAACGAAUCGAAUUUCUUGAUUCUCCUCGAUCCCUUGUCUCCCUCAUAUCCGUCAGUCGAGUCGACUUCCACGACCUUCGGCCUCUCUUCCUCUGUCAUGCCGUCCCGCUCCAUUGAAGAAUCACAGCGAGAGAGAGAGAGAGAGAGAGAGGGGGGGAGAGAGAGAGACGAGAGUGGGUGGGAUAAUUACGCGACCACCUGCUUCAUAGGAGAAACACAGUCGACGCAUCACAAGGGAAGGAAAAGAAGGAUUCGUUCUUACGCGUUUACGUCUGCUGCAAAAGGGAAAUUGACCAAGAAGGGACCACCCUAUUUUUCCAUCCCUUUACAAUCUGCUUUCCAGUUUUGGAAAAAAAAAAAAAAGGUUUGACUUAAUACCAUCGAUCGUGAAGGCGCGUGAAUCUUUUUUUUUUUUUUUUUGGGGAAUGGGGUCUCUCGAAAAGGGCAUUAUUAGCACAUGAGAUACUUUAAGAGAGAGAGAGAGAGCCGUCUUCAAACCGUCCUUCUGAUCUGUAGGUUAUAAAUUAGGGCAUUCAUCCGCUUUUAAUCUGUGUUAAUCUGAACGUGGUUGAUGUUGGUAAAUAUCGGUAACGCAUUAAUUAAAAAACUUUCUCCGAACUCCUCCAUACAGCCAUUAUAACAUUUUAUUUUUCUAGUCAUUUGCCGUCGAAACUACCUAUUUAGUCAUAUGAUAUCUUUUUCGUGGCUAAUCGUGCUAUUAUCUUGUUGUCAUUACUUGCGGAAUUAAGUCUGAAAGUUGAAAAUAGCGGUGCCGGCCUACCACGUGAUUUUUUUGAAAAGUGCAGUUUUCGAUUUUUUACGUUUGGACGUACAAAUUUCCAGAUGUUAACAAUACUCCUAUUUUAUGGCCAAAAAACAAGACUCGAUUUCUGUCUCUAGAAGUAAAAGAUACCGUAUGCGUUGGUCAUUAAUUAGCCGGGGUAUCACCUAGAUCAAUCACCUAACUCCAGUUUCGAGCAAGGCGAUGACUUCAUUACUAAAUUAAGAACCCUCUUUUGGAAGAUUAUAUUUUUAGUAAUUCACUGAAAAGAUUAUGGAGAAAGUUCGUCGGUGAGGGUAUAAAAAGCAUGGGAUAUAUUCAAACGAAAUACUGCUGUUGCAUCAUUGUACGGAUCAAUUUCGCGAAUCAAUCAUCUAUCCCUAUCUUUUAGUUUUUAAUUUGAUUAGCAUAGUUGUUAUUAACAGAGAGUAGGCUUUAAACAUGGUUGGGCAGACCGCUAGACAAGUGAAGUCCUAAGGUCAUAUUUGGUCGUUUGGAUUUUAGGUUAAGAUAGGAUUGGAUAAAUAGGAUAAGAAAUCUGAGAAUUUUACUAUAUUAUAUUUACCAUUUAAUGUAGCCAAUAAAGCCAUAUACUUUCAUAUUCUAUCACGUCCACUAUUUGAUAUGAAUUACAAAUUAGUGUAAAUGAACUUGAAAAUACACAAAUAAAAUGGGUAAGACUCUCUCAAAUAAAAAAACAGAGAUAACCUCCAUUAAUCAAUCAAUCAAUCAAGGAUUAUCAUAAUAUUAUAUAACAAAUAAUCUCAUUGUAACAUUCUAGAGCCACUAUGCGACUAUGAUAAGAAAUGUGAAUGAGCAUUGGUAAUACUAACGAGGUAGAUCCAUUAGCCUAUGUCAAGAGAGGAAAAAGAAAAAAAGAAAAAUUUAGAAAAUCUAAAAUAAAUUGAAAAAUAUCAUAUACGUUAGUGCUGGCCAUAUCACGUAAAAUGGCUGGCACUUGAUCAUAUUAUCACGUUAGUAAUUUCAGGCCAAAAUUGAUCAGGUUGACUACAUUGGAAAAUUGUUAAAAGAUUUAAGACAUAUUGAUUGCAUUAGAAAGUUUAGAAUUAAAUUGACAACCAUAUAAUAAGUUUAGGAUUUUGUAGGCAAUUUUUCCUUUUCUGGUCACGUGUUCCAUUGAUUAAACAUGAAACUAAAUUUUAAACCUUGAUUUUGGAGAAUUUGAAUUUGGAACCUUUAGAUUUUUGGGAAAUGGAACAAUAAUUUAAUUUUGUUGACCUUACUGUUUUAUUAAAUUAAACUUAAAAGUCUUAUUACAUUAAUUACUUUCCGCACCAGGGUUGAUUAACGUUUUUGUGGUCCAAAUUUUUUAACAAACAUGUCCCGGUAGCCUCUUUUUUUUUUUUUUUUGAAGUAGAAGUAUUUUUCUUGCCACCGUUCGCAAAUUCAUAAGCAUUGGGGGUUUACAUUUAGGAAAAAGUAAUUGUUUGUCCAUUUGUUUCGCGGAAAAUGCAUGAUUUCAAAAAUAUUUUACUUAUAAAAAUAUAUGAGCAAAAUUUGUUUUCAUAGUUUACACAAAUUCUCAGACUUCAAUUGUUUCCAACAAAAAUAAAUAUUUUUUAAUUGUUAAUUAUUUCAAAUUAUACAAACAAAUAUUUUUAGGAAAAUAUUUUUCAAAUCAUUAAUUUUUGCAAACAAACAGGACCUGAGGACACCUGUCAUUUUAAAUCUAAAGAGUUGCUCAGAAAUUCAACAAGUAUAUACUAUUGUAGAAAAUAUUUACUUAACCAGAUACAUAUAUACCAAAAAAGUAAAAAAGAAAAGAGAGUUGGAUCUUAGUAAGUUCUUAAAUUGCUAAGUCUUCAACUUAGACCUCGAGGCUUCCUAGACAUUAAGCAACUAGAGGGGAUUCCCUCCUCUUGAGAAAGAUAAAUAUACAAAGGAGAGCUUGGGGUUGGACACGUGGGUAUCAGUACGUUAAAAUAAAGAACACAGUCAUGUCAUCCUGCUAGGAGACUUGAUAGGCGGGGUAGCCUCAACUCAGAAGUUCAUACUUUGCCUGGUUACAUAUAUAAAAUAAAAAAGGGGGCUGAUACAUAUAUACAAUUAAAAAGAGAAUCUAUUCCAUACGUAUUUAGCCUCUUUGCUUUGCUCAUUUUCAGUGUAUGCCUGGUGGCUAAGCUGCAUGAUCAUAUCUUUUGUCAACUAUCGUCGACUUCUUUGAUGCUAUUUUGCAGGACAGUUUACACUAUAUGUACUCAGAAGCCACCUCAUGACUAGUCCCAGCAACUGUAUGACAAGUAUAGAGAAACCUUUGAAGAGUACAUCAAUUCAGUGGUAAGAAAUUAGUAAUUGCGUUGUUUGUGCUCUUUUUGUUUAGUUAUAUGAUGGGCAUAUGAAUAUUUGAAAGGAGAUAAUAUCAAAUAAAUCCUAAACCCAUUACAAUUGUGUCAAUUCAGUCAUAAAUUUAUUUUUAUGGCCAAUUAAGUGAUAAAUCUCUUACAAUAGUGCCAAUUUAGUUCUUUUGGCCAAAAUUAGCUGGCCAGCACUAAUGUGGCAUGUGGCCGACGCUGGUGAUAAUAUUUUAUAAUAUUUUAUUUUUUGAUUUUUGUAUCUUUUUUUUUCCUCCUCCCUCAUUCUUCCUUUGGCUCCGGCAACCAGCCAAAGGGCUGGUCAAUCACUGAACUGAGGUGAUUGGGCAAGCUCGCCUCGCCACUCCUGGGCGAGGCAAGCUUGUUAGGCUACUAAUAGGGCUAGCCUUCAUUGGAUCUGGCGAGGGCUUGCCUUGCCAAAUCCGGAGAGGGGGCCUUGUCAUUGCUGGGUUUGACGGGGGCUCGCCUCACCAAAUCUAGCAAGGGCUCGCCAUUUUUUUGAUAAUUUUUCCAGAAAUAUGGCGACAGUUCAAAAUUCCUAUGGGAAUUGAAGUUCUAUCUGUUUAUUGUAUAGCCUGCGGGCACGAAGACCUGCCAUUAAUGAGUGUCAGAAUUCCCGGCUGAUGUUCCUCGAUAUUAAUGCUAGUAUUAGGGUGCCAGUGGGCAUUAAACGAUUGAUUAUGGUUUUUUUUUUUAGGGCAUCAGUUAAUGAUGGCAAUUCAUCUUUUGAGUGAAAAAACUGGAACUCGUUCUUGUAGUUGAAGUGGGAAAUAUGCCAAGAUGAGAUCAUCAAUUGGACGUGAUCUGAGGAAACUGCGACACCUUACAUAGUGAAGUGAUCAAAUUUGAAUGCUGCCUCCUUGUGGGACAUGAGAAAUAACCAAGACUUGUUGGUAUAUAGGACAUCUGCGAACAAGUGUUUGGUAAUGCGCCAAAUAGUUCCUUGCUGUGAAUUUGACAUAAUUAGUGCGAUUGAUUCAUUGAUUCAAUUUUUUUUUAUGGAAAAAAAGAAAUGUAUGAGUGUACUUAUGAAGCCCGUAUUGACCUCUGAAAUGCUAUAUGAAAGCUUUCUUUUAAUCAUUGCAUAGCAAGUAUUUUUCAGUACUUAAUCACAUUGAUGCUUGAAAGUGGGAUUGUAGUAUUCAUGACAUGGAUCUCCUUCUCCAAUGAUAUAAGGCUUAGAAAUUCCAUUAUUAACCCUUUCCUUUUUGUAAUACAUACUUUUCACCGUGGACAACAUGUCCUUUGGGUUCUUGAGUAUUCUAUUCCCAUUAAUUUCAAGGCCUCUCUCUGAUUCAGGAGUUGUCUUUAUUAAGGGAUAAGCAUGAUGAGUUUCUGCUGAGAGAAUUUGUGUUCAGGUGGGCAAACCAUAAUGUGAUGGUCAAUUGGCUACCUUGUUUCUUCUAUUAUGUGGAUCAGUACUUCGUUGCUCAAAGUUCAUUGCUGCCCCUUAAUGAGGUUGGCCUGACUUGCUUUCGUGAUCUGGUACAUCACCAGUGACCUUCCAUGUGUGAUGUCAGCUGUACUGAUCAUUUGCAGUAAAGUUUAUGGUUCAAAUAUGGCUGAAUAAUGCUGACUGCAGUUUAAUGAUGUUGACUUUUUCCAUAUGUUGUUGACAAUUAUGUCAAUGCACUUGAUUGAUGAUGUUUUCAGGUAUAUAGGGAGUUAUAUGCAGAAGUGAGGGAUGCUAUCAUCUCCCUGGUAUGAUUUUAUCCAUCGCCUCUGAUUCUUGACAGGUUUUUUAAUUCUUAGAAUCUUGUUAAUUCUUUUACUGGCUUGAAUUUUGAUUAGAUUGAUCAGGAAUGUGAGGGAGAGCAAAUUGACUGAGCUUUAGUGAAGAAUGUUUUGGAUAUAUUUGUUGGAACUGGAACGGGGCAAAUGGAUUUUUAUGAAAGUGAUUUAAAGCAUCACUGCUCGAAGAUACUGCUGCUUAAGUAUUCUAGGAAGGCUCCAAAGUGGAUGCUGAAAGACUCUUGUCCAGAUUACAUGCUGAAGGCAAUGCCAAUUUUAUAUCAUUAGCCUGAAAUGUUGUGGUGAAUUGUUUUUGAAUUUAUUAAUCCAUGUUAUUGGCGGUCACAGGCUGAAGAAACGUGAGAGAGACAUAUAAUAUAUAAACACAUAUAAUAUUGAAUAUUAUAUAUGAAAUUUAUUGCAAUUGGAAUUGUAAUUGAGGUAACAACCUCUUAUGUGGCCAAGAGACCAACAAAGCACUUGUUGUUACUCUUUAUUUAUAGAGAAAAUUUACUUGUUAGUUUCAUCUUCUACUCAAUGUGGGUCAAGGCUCUAGGAGUUCCUCAUGCUCACACUCUCUCUCUUGCUCCCCUCACUUGCAAACAACAAGGCACUUCAAGCCUCAAAGAGUCUCAUAUCGACUAAACAUUCAAAGCAUAGAAGAGAAAUUGUCUAUAAAACCUAAGCCAAGCACAACCUUUAAUCACAUUGUUCAUGGCUUUUAUGCUUAAAAUUAAGUGUGAAACACAUAAACUGUGAUUGAUAUUCACGUAAGUGAAGUUUGAAUAUUUUGCACGUGAAAACAUGUGUGAAUAAUUUUACUAGAUUGCCCGAGAACCGAAUUGGAUUGAUCAGUCCGGAGCAUGAUUGUUCUUUAGUGAAUGGUCGUUCUUUAGUGAAAAAAGAAAGUGCCGAUUCUAUUGGACCAGACCAGAUCAGACCAGAACCAAUGGUCCAGUACGAUUCCUGGUCCUAGGACCAAACAAUCCGAUCCACAGUUCCCAAAAUUGGGAACCGAUUCUCCCGGUCCGGUUCUCGGUUCCACCUUGGAACAGGACCGAACUGGGAACCGAUUACCCCUAUUGGGAAUCCCAACGAUCGCAAGAGGUCCUUCUCGGCACGGCCCUUUAGCUACAGAAACCUAUUGGCCAUGACACUUAACUACUGAUAUGAGUGUAGAGUUUCAGUCUCUCUAAUGAUUCCAUUUUAUUGUAGUACUGCUCUUUUUUGUUGUUCAACACGUUAAAAAUAGUGGAUUAUGAUUAUGCUCUAUGAUCUGACCAACUCUUUCCAUCAAUUUCUACACAAUCACCUACUGAAAGUGAAAAUGCUUGAUAAUUACGUGACCGCGGAAAAACACAAUACCGCAUUACAAAGGAGAGAAAAGAAGGAUUUGACCGACCAUCAAGCAAACCUUUGAUGGCAUUGCAUUUAUAAUUCAUAUUGUCACUCGAAAUCUAAAAAGGAGGUAGAUCAAAUUGAGGAGAUUUUGAAGAGAGAAUAAUUAAUGGAUUUUUUACACGACUGCGUCUGCCAGCUGUCAACUAAGAACUUAUGCACGACAGCUGGCUUUUGCUAACUAGUGACUCUAAUGAUUUUAUUUUUAUCCACAUGAUAUAAUGAUCAUGUUGAAAGUAGAUUUCCCAUCACACGAGAGGACUAGUAGCUAUGCCCACCAUGCAUACAAGGGCGAUGCUUGUGGCUAACUAAAACAAAAUUAAGUUUGUGUAAAUUCCUUACCCCUUAUGAGGAAGCAAUAGUUGUUGAUCAGAUAAUCAAAUUUAAGUAUGUUAGAGUUGACUUUGCAUUGGACUCAAAGUCCCGAGUGCACAUCCAUAUAUAUAUAUAUAUAUAUAUAUAUAUAUAUAUAUAUAUUCACACACACGUCUAAUCACCCAAGCCAAAAAGAUUACGACUUCGACAAGCCUACUCUCGUUGUUAUUUGGGCUAGGGGCGAAGCUUCCUAAAACAACAUGAAUUUGAUGAAAGAAAUCUAAUUUCAACACGACUCAACUCGAUAUCAAUACCUUCUCAGUCCAUUUUCAGUGAAAACUACUUUGUAAACACGUAUUUUUGGUACCAUACUUAAUGACACGAAUCUAACACUGCAAGACAUGUAUCAUCGGCCCGAUUGAGGCUUUUAUGCAGCAGUCUCGGGCCGACCUGGCCAGGCCCGUCGGCACCGCUUGAUCGCCAUUUCCACUGCAUCACCAUCUUCAGACGAACUCUUCCAGUUCAGAGUCUUCUUAGUCUUCCUUCUCCAGAAUUCCAGUUCUUGCUGCUGCUUAACCAGGUACGCUCUUUAUCCUCCUCUCUGCUUCCUUCUUGUUCAUCGAUAUGUGGCUAUGGAAAUAUGCUAGCUUGAGCAUUGAUUCCGAUACCAUGACGUUGAUCCGCGGCCGUAGGCUUAGUUGAAAUUGCACGUCACAGCCAGCUUUAUCAAAGCUGUGCAACGAUACCGUUUCAAACCCCCAAAGUUUACACCUUUUUGUAAAACUAAAGGAGAUGCCCAUGCUUGUUGAUCAUUAUUGUGGGGAGAUUAUAUGCCCUUGUUUUAAUAUCUGGAUCGGUUUGAGUUUUUCAUGAUGGAUUUUUUCUUUUUCUUUUUUUGGUACAUGUUGAAGCUGAAUGAUGCGGCUUUUGACCUUUCAAAUGGGCCGGUUGCUGAUGAGGUUUGUUGUUAAGCUCCAAUUCCUACCUUUUGUGAUUCAUUUGUUUCAGUUGUACGGUUUCACUUAUUGAGUGGAGUUCAGAUUUUCUCAAUUGUCCUUGGGAACUUGAAGAAGCUCGAAGGGAGAUGGAUUAUAUCUGACAUCUGUAUGCCGAUUGCUUUAAUACAAAAGUUAACAAGUUUUAUGUUUUUUAUUUCCCUUUUCCCAAUGGCCAGUGUGGCGAAGAACUUGGAGAUAUACUGUUAAAUUGGUUGAAAUCGUGGGAACAAGCAGAUACAUUGACAUCUAGGACUUUGGCGAGCAAACUGCUUCUGCUAGAGAGAGCUCUUUGGCCGAUAAUGCUAAAUCAGGCAUGAAGAAAACACUGGCUUCUUCAUGCUUAAUACAUGCUUGAGGGUCUGUCAUGAGCCUCAUGAUCAUGCAUUUGGUGAUUUAGCAUUGGGGAGGCGCUUAUCAUCUGCUGGAAGGAGGUUCCAGUCCAUGGGACCAUAUGGUCAAGGCAAACUUGCUAAGGUAUCUUGCAGAACUGGUGAACUCUCAGCAUAGUAAAAGUUGGUAUACUAUUGCUAUGUGAGCUUAAAUGUAAACAACAGGAAUGGUGGGUUAAAAAGAGCAAUUUUACUCUGCCAAAGAAGCAGAAAACGCACACUUGAAAUUCAGACUGCCCUACCCUAUGUUAAUCUGUAAAUUUGUUGCGUGUCGGUGUUAAACACAUAUAAAACUAAAUUAGUUAGGAACGAGAAUUUCCUAUACUUCUGAAUGAGUAUUUGAACCCAGUCAUUGCAUGAACUCCUUUUUCCUUGUUUUCUCAAACUACAUUUUUUUUCUUUUUUAUCAUUGACUUCUUAUGAAAGAACUGGAAGCACUCAAGAAAAAACCUUGACUGAUCAUGCAUAAGGACCCCUAGUGAUGUGAGCCUCGAUGUUUGGAGACAUCUUUUCCACUUUGAAUGUGGCAUAACUACUGGAUUUAUAUGAGGUGUGUAAACUGUUUCAAAUUGUUGUUAGAUUGCAAAGAUAAUGAUUGCAACGGGAAAGCGUUUGGCUGCAACCCAAGUAUCUGCCGCAAUGGUUGAAGAACCUAAGAAGGAAGCCCGAACUUUUAAGGUUGGUUCUAGCUCUCUCCUGGUUGAGGUCUCAAGGACAAGCUUAUUAACAUAAUGUGAUCUGUCACUGGUUCUUCACGCUUUUGAAAGUGCAGUUUGGAGAACUUUAAGUAGAAGUUACAUCAGAUAAAGCCAACAUUGGGGCUGCUAUCGGUUUUUCAAUUAAGUAACCGAUGCUUUUUGUCACGAUUGAUUUUUUUGCCUAGUUAUAUUCGAUUGAAGAGUACUAAAUUGAAAGCUACCGUUUAAAAUGCAGAAUUCUUUCAUGGCAACUAGCUCAAGGCGUUCAAAGCAUCCCCGAGAGCUCUUUGCAGUAUGCAAAUGAUAAUGCUUUGCUGCUGGCCAAGGUUUCUGAGAACACCAUCUUCAACCUUGUGUGGAUGUCCUUUUGUACUACAUUUACUGAAUGCUGAUACAUGGAAUCCUUUGAAUGCAGUCUCUAAGGGGUGCUCUACUUGCGACGGGCUAUUCAUCAGCUAUCUUGUCCACAAUCGCAUCCUUUGGCGUUCUUAUGCUUGCAAGACAGCUUAAAUCUGAGAACAAGUGACGUUGUCCUAGUUUUGUCCACGUUUUGCUUGUAGAUGACCAUUGACUUGAGGAAGAGCUGAACAUGACUGAAAAUGUAUUACUAUCGUCGGUAUGAAUCCAUGGGUUAUGGACACGUACUGAUAGAAUAUAUCAUUAUGUACAUUAACUUUUUGGGCAUGAAGAAUGCUUUUUGGCAUGAUCCUUGUUGCCCCAUAAUUGGGGAAGCUGAUUUGAUUUAUUGCAUCUUGAAGCAGACGUUGCCCUGUUCUCCUACCUCUUCCCUUCUACUGUUCCACUUUGAUUAUAAACUUCCAAGAUUGGUAACGGAAGAAAAAGCACCAGCAAAGUAUGUGUCAUUUCAUAUAUGCUUUCAGCUUUAAAGAAAAUGCAAUGAGAGAGGGCAUUAAGUUACAAAGUAGUCAAUUUAAGAGGUGCUGAUGUUACACUGAGAAUGAACAGGGAGGGAGAGAUGGUGUGGCCACCAAGUGUGAUAUUCUUGACCUUUACCUCUUGAUAGUUUAACAGUGAUGUAUAAUAACCUGGCUGAAACUAUGCAAGUGAAAGUCUCGAAGUAGUACCAAAUGUUAACCACCGACGAAGGGUUCCAAAUUACAUAUCACCUCGGAUUUUUUAACCAGUCAAUGCGGGGCUUGAUUCGUAUCAAUUCACCACCAAUCAUUUACUCCUUUUGCUUUUGGGUUGGGCCAUAACAAUGGUAGAUCUCUAUUUUACUUUGGUACCUUACUGCUUAAAAGUCCAAAACAACUUGAGCACUGAAAGUUAGGACGCAUGACCGUAAUUGCUAUUUGAUGUAAUAUCCUUGGACAGAAGCUUAGCUCUUGGGGAGUGUGAUUUUUACCUUUUACAUUGAAUUCAAAAUUGUUUAUUUAACUUGAUUGUUGAUGACUUUUAUCACAUUUCUGUGAUUAGUUUAGUGCUAUUGCUUUUUACAUUUGAGACAUUUGAGUACCUUAGCAGUACGUUUUCCAGUUGAAGGAUCCAGCGGUAGGUCUGCUGAACCAUUGUAUUCAAAUCUUUUCAUAUAUCAACUAAGUUGAUGAGGAAGGUAUUAGCCAUUCUCUUAUUGUGGAUAUUCUUGCCAAUGCCAUUGUGAGGGGACAAUUUGAUAGGUGGUUUCAACUCGUGUCUCUUCUGUAAGUAUUUGUGGUCAGAAUGCCGGAAGCAAUUUGUAAGUAUCGCAUCUAUCUGUAUAAGCAUCAUUAGGCCAGGCUUGCUAUUCUCCGUGUUAUAUCAGUCACAUACUAAUGUUCUGGAUACAUGGGAUAUAAUCUUCAAUGCCGGCUAAUAGUACAUUGUAGAAUCCAUUAAAUUGUCACUCUUUUCUACUUGCCGAUAUAAGACAUAGACGUACUUGUUUUCUGGUUGACCUCAUGGAGAUUACGUCAAAUACUCUGCCCGGCAUCCAAGAUCAGAAUCUGAUGAGGAGUACCUCCUGUUUCAGUGUGGCUAAUUGUUUGGGUAAUCGAGUUUACGGUUUUCUCUCUUUUCUUGCUGUCGUUGGAUAGGAGAUUUCAUUUAAUGGAUUCUCAUCAUGAUCAAUCCUCCAAUUGAAUAAAAUUUACGAGUAGGGAUGUUGCCGCCAUCUGAUAGGGCAGGUGUUUGGUGUGUUCUUUGUUCAAAAUCGCGGUUGUUCUAGCCCUCUUGCAUAAUUUUUAUUAUAGGGUAUUUAUAUUAUAGGGCUGUUGAAUUCAUUUUGCAAUGUUGUCACGCGCGACAGACUACUCGAAAGCUGAAUUGAGCUACCAUUACACACACACACACAUAUAUAUAUAAAAUAACCAAUACUGCAAUAAAACAUUGAAAAUAAAAGAUCGCCAAGAACAUUGAAACUACUGAUAUAUAUAUAUGAACCUAAGGAUGUUUUAUCAGGGACAUUGGCGGUGCCGAGGUAGAAAUUUUCAUCCUGGACAUGGGCAGUGCCAAGGCGGACCCACUCGGCACACUCGAUGCCGAGGCGGAUGAGGUGGACGACGUGGACUCACUUGAUGUCGAGGCCGCCAUGGGCGGUGCGGGUGCCGAGACGUAAGCUGGCGAUGUCGUGCCGGACAUCCGCUCGGCGGUUUGAAGAGCAAAGGCGGACAUUGGCGUUGGCGGUGGGGAAGUCAGCGUGGACAUUAGAAAAGCAAAGGCCGGUGUCGGUUUCGAUUCCGGUGGUGGUGUCCGAUUCUUGCUGAGAUCAAAGGGGCUCCAAAUUUGUGUUCCUACGCAAAAGCUUCCUUCUGGUGCUGGCAUCAGAAGGAACGUCUGAAGGCAAAGAAUCAGAGCAAAAGCGUCAGACAAAAGCACGAGAUGGACUACUACAAGGGUAAGGGUGCAAAAACUCAAUAUAUAUGGGAAGGAGGAUUGAUCAAUCGAUUGAUCGAUUGAUCGAUAGAGAAAUUGCAGAGAGUUGACAAAGCAUCACCCACCCCACCCCACCAAGAAAAUUCUUCGGUUCCGUUACGCUAGCUACGGAGAGACAGAUACUCUCUGCUAACAAUGGAUGGGAUGGAUGGACGAAGGGAUCACCCAAGAUGUUAAAUCAACAUCAAAUAUGCCCAACAUCUCAUCAAAACCACCAUCCUUGUUCUUCGACACUCCAAAAAAGGAAUUUAAAAUUAUAAAAAUAUAAAUGGAUCCUUCAUCAGAGAGAGAGAGAGAGAGAGAGGCCUGAUCUGAAAUAAGGGCGUCCGCCAUGACAUUCUGGCCCCCUACCCACGUCUCGCCGUAGACGGAGAUGAGCACGCUGCCGGUCCGGUAGGGCAUGCACUUGAACUCGGCGAUUUCGUGGUGGCACUGCGGAAGGGAGGUGAGUUUGGCGAGGAUGGCCUCCUUGCCCUUGAUCUCCCGGCCGUCGAAGUGCAGCACCGACUCUUCCCGGUACAGGUUCACCAAGCCCGCCCGAUUCGUGUCGAACGUCCUGUAGUAGUUCACCAUGAACCGCUUCGCUUCUUCUGCCCGACCCAUGUCUUCUGGCUUGAUCCUCCACAUCUCUUUCCUCCUCCUUCUGUGCGCGAUUCAGAGAGAAAUCCCUAGCGCCGUUUCUUUUUCAAGAGUUCCCUUCCCCUUUUUUAUUUUGGAAUACACCGACCCGGUUUCUUGUCGGGUCGGUCGGGUUUUUCACGUCCGGUACUUUGAUGGCACGUGAAAUCCGAAAAAGGGAGUAAGAUCAAAUUGAGGAGAUUUUGAAGGGGGAUUAAUUAAUGUACUUAUUCGAAUUAGGAGAUUUUGAAGACAAAAUAAUUAAUGGACAUAAUCGACUUAGGAAAAACUACUUAAAAAGAGUACGCGUUUGUGUCCACCAGCUCUCAACCAAGAACUUAUGCACAAAAGCCAACUUUCACUAGCUAGUGAUUCCAAUUUUGAUGGCACGCGAAAUCCCAAAAAGCAAGUAAGAUCAAAUUGAGGAGAUUUUGAAGAGAGAGUAAUUGAUGAACUUACUUGAAUUAGGAGAUUUUGAAGACAGAAUAAUUAAUGGACAUAAUUGACUUAGGAAAAACUACUUAAAAAGAGCACGCGUUUGUGCCUACCAGCUCUCAACCAAGAGUUUAUGCACAAAAGCUGACUUUCACUAGCUAGUGAUUCCAAUUUUGAUGGCACGCGAAAUCCCAAAAAGGAAGUAAGAUCAAAUUGAGGAGAUUUUGAAGAGAGAGUAAUUAAUGAACUUACUUGAAUUAGGAAAUUUUGAAGACAGAAUAAUUAAUGGACAUAAUCGAAUUAGGAAAAAUUAGUAGGCGUUUCUUACGCAUUUGCGUCUGCCGGCUCUCAAUCAAGAACUUACGCACGAAAGCUGACUUUCACUAGCUAGCGAUUCCAAUGUUCUUUUACUGGCGGCUAUGCGGAUUCCAAAGUAGAUCAAAUUGAGGAGAUUUUGAAGUUGUUUCGAGUUUAUGUCCCUGCAAAAAGGGAAAUUACCAAGAGAGAGAGGUGUUGUUUAGUUUGCUCUUAGAGGUCACCCUAUUUUAUCAAGGAGAGGUGUUAUCGUUCUCUGGAUUGAUCUCGCUCUCACUUUCCCGUCGCUCUCUCGUCACUCUCGCCGCCAUGGAAUCUGCUAACCUGGCCGCCUUCUUCGGCGGUCAAUUUUAUUUUUCGUUUGACUCAAGUCGCCAGUAUGUGCCGCUCUAUUAUGGGCCUGCAUCAACCGCUGUUUACGAUCAUCACAUUGCCUCUGGCCCUGUACAAAUACAUGUUCUUUUCACUUCGGAAUAUCUUGCCGACGUCUGUCAUCUCAUCACUCGUAUGUCAUCGUCGGUCGAUUCAAUUACAGGUCGACGUUGUUUCACCUUCGCCGGUGUCAUCCGCAUCGGCCUUGAGUUCAGAGACUUUGAGGAGGUUCAUCGGUUUCUCUCUUCUUUUUCUUUCUUUGUUGGGUUAAUUUGAUACUAAUUCUUCCCUUUUAGAUGUUUAUUGUGGAAGGGCUGCUAAUCCCUCCUCGAAAUGGACGGAUUAUCUACAGCAACUUCCGUUCAAUCCCGCGGCAAGAGCCGUUACCAUAUCCGAUGCCACUGCCACCAGUGCAAGAGCUGGCCCAAUUAUACCCAAACGCCCCCAGUAUACCCAUUGCCAAUGGGAUUCCUACAGCCAUUCCCUAACCAGGCACAGCCGUUCCCUCACGAGGGCGCACAACCGGGGCCAUUCCCUCAACAGCAGCCUGUGCAACCGGCAGAGAACCCAUUCCCACAUGCGGCUGACCCGCCCGUGGACGAGCAACUUCUAGCAUUCCUCAUGCAACAGGAUCCAUUCCCUCAGGAGGACCCACAGAACCUGCCAUUCCCACAAGCCGGCGAUCCGGCAGCGGAUGAGCAAAUACAGGGAAUGGAGGCAGUCGAGAGUCAAGGCAGCAACGCAUGAGGGAAUAUAUUUUAGACUACUUUUGCAUUCCAUAUCGUUUCAGUCUGUAUACAUUCUCUUAUGUCAGCUGCUGAUAUGAGUGUAGUGUUUCAGUCUGUAUAGCUUCAGUUUCUCUGAUGAUUCCGUUUUAUUGCACUACUGUUUAAAAUAGUGAUUAUGAUUAUGCUCUAUGAUCUGACCAACUCUUUCCAUCAAUUUCUACACAAUCAUCUACUGAAAGAGAAAAUGCUUGAUAAUUAUGUGACCGCCGAGAAACACUGUCACCGCAUUACAAGGAAAAGAAAAGAAGGAUUUGACCGACGGUCAAGCAAACCUUUGAUGGCACUGUAUUUAUGAUUCAUAAAGCAGAUCAAAUUGAGGAGAUUUUGAGGAGAGAAUAAUUAAUGAACUUACUCGAAUUAGGAAAAAUUACUUUAAAAGAGUACAUGUUUACGCGUUUGCGUCUGCUAGCUCUCAACCAAGAACUUAUGCACGAAAUCUGACUUUUGCUAACUAGUGACCCCAAUGUUUUUUUUUUUUUUUUUUUGGAUCUACACAAUAUAAUAAUCAUGUUGAAAGUAGAUUUCCCAUCACACGAGAGGAGCAGUAACUAUGCCCACUAUUCAUAAACCACGAUGGCAAUGCUUUUGGUUAAGUGAAGCAAAAUUAAGUUUGUGCAAAUUCCUUACUUCUCAGGAGGAAGCAAUUGUUGUUGAUCAGAGAAUCAACUUCAAGUAUGUCAGAGUUGACUUUGCAUUGGACUCAAAGUCCCGAGCGCACAUCCGACACUUUUAGGUUCCCCAGUCUCCAUAUAUAUUUAUUCACACACACGUCUAAUCACCCAAGCCAAAAAGAUUACGACUUGAGCACGCCUACUCUCGUUGUUAUUUGGGCUAGGGGUGAAGCUUCCUAAAACAACAUGAAUUUGAUGAAAGAAAUCUAAAUUCAACUCGAUAUCAAUACCUUUUCAGUCCAUUUUCAGUGAAAACUACUUUGUAAACACAUAGUUUUUGUACCAUACGUAAUGACGCGAAUGUAACACUGCAAGACAUGUAUCAUCGGCCCGAUUGAGGCUUUUAUGCAGCAGUCUCGGGCCGACCUGGCCAGGCCCGUCGGCACCGCUUGAUCGCCAUUUCCACUGCAUCACCAUCUUCAUACGAACUCUUCCAGUUCAGAGUCUUCCUAGUCUUCCUUCUCCAGAAUUCCAGUUCUUGCUUCUGCUUAACCAGGUACGCUCUUUAUCCUCCUCUCUGCUUCCUUCUUGUUCAUCGAUAUGUGGCUAUGGAAAUAUGCUAGCUUGAGCAUUGAUUCCGAUACCAUGACGUUGAUCCGCGGCCGUAGGCUUAGUUGAAAUUGCACGUCACAGCCAGCUUUAUCAAAGCUGUGCAACGAUACCGUUUCAAACCCCCAAAGUUUACACCUUUUUGUAAAACUAAAGGAGAUGCCCAUGCUUGUUGAUCAUUAUUGUGGGGAGAUUAUAUGCCCUUGUUUUAAUAUCUGGAUCGGUUUGAGUUUUUCAUGAUGGAUUUUUUCUUUUUCUUUUUUUGGUACAUGUUGAAGCUGAAUGAUGCGGCUUUUGACCUUUCAAAUGGGCCGGUUGCUGAUGAGGUUUGUUGUUAAGCUCCAAUUCCUACCUUUUGUGAUUCAUUUGUUUCAGUUGUACGGUUUCACUUAUUGAGUGGAGUUCAGAUUUUCUCAAUUGUCCUUGGGAACUUGAAGAAGCUCGAAGGGAGAUGGAUUAUAUCUGACAUCUGUAUGCCGAUUGCUUUAAUACAAAAGUUAACAAGUUUUAUGUUUUUUAUUUCCCUUUUCCCAAUGGCCAGUGUGGCGAAGAACUUGGAGAUAUACUGUUAAAUUGGUUGAAAUCGUGGGAACAAGCAGAUACAUUGACAUCUAGGACUUUGGCGAGCAAACUGCUUCUGCUAGAGAGAGCUCUUUGGCCGAUAAUGCUAAAUCAGGCAUGAAGAAAACACUGGCUUCUUCAUGCUUAAUACAUGCUUGAGGGUCUGUCAUGAGCCUCAUGAUCAUGCAUUUGGUGAUUUAGCAUUGGGGAGGCGCUUAUCAUCUGCUGGAAGGAGGUUCCAGUCCAUGGGACCAUAUGGUCAAGGCAACCUUGCUAAGGUAUCUUGCAGAACUGGUGAACUCUCAGCAUAGUAAAAGUUGGUAUACUAUUGCUAUGUGAGCUUAAAUGUAAACAACAGGAAUGGUGGGUUAAAAAGAGCAAUUUUACUCUGCCAAAGAAGCAGAAAACGCACACUUGAAAUUCAGACUGCCCUACCCUAUUUUAAUCUGUAAAUUUGUUGCGUGUCGGUGUUAAACACAUAUAAAACUAAAUUAGUCAGGAACGAGAAUUUCCUAUACUUCCGAAUGAGUAUUUGAACCCAGUCAUUGCAUGAACUCCUUUUUCCUUGUUUUCUCAAACUACAUUUUUUUUUCUUUUUUAUCAUUGACUUCUUAUGAAAGAACUGGAAGCACUCAAGAAAAAACCUUGACUGAUCAUGCAUAAGGACCCCUAGUGAUGUGAGCCUCGAUGUUUGGAGACAUCUUUUCCACUUUGAAUGUGGCAUAACUACUGGAUUUAUAUGAGGUGUGUAAACUGUUUCAAAUUGUUGUUAGAUUGCAAAGAUAAUGAUUGCAACGGGAAAGCGUUUGGCUGCAACCCAAGUAUCUGCCGCAAUGGUUGAAGAACCUAAGAAGGAAGCCCGAACUUUUAAGGUUGGUUCUAGCUCUCUCCUGGUUGAGGUCUCAAGGACAAGCUUAUUAACAUAAUGUGAUCUGUCACUGGUUCUUCACGCUUUUGAAAGUGCAGUUUGGAGAACUUUAAGUAGAAGUUACAUCAGAUAAAGCCAACAUUGGGGCUGCUAUCGGUUUUUCAAUUAAGUAACUGAUGCUUUUUGUCACGAUUGAUUUUUUUGCCUAGUUAUAUUAGAUUGAAGAGUAUUAAAUUGAAACCUACCGUUUAAAAUGCAGAAUUCUUUCAUGGCAACUAGCUCAAGGCGUUCAAAGCAUCCCCGAGAGCUCUUUGCAGUAUGCAAAUGAUAAUGCUUUGCUGCUGGCCAAGGUUUCUGAGAACACCAUCUUCAACCUUGUGUGGAUGUCCUUUUGUACUACAUUUACUGAACGCUGAUACAUGGAAUCCUUCGAAUGCAGUCUCUAAGGGGUGCUCUACUUGCGACGGGCUAUUCAUCAGCUAUCUUGUCCACAAUCGCAUCCUUUGGCGUUCGUGUGCUUGCAAGACAGCUUAAAUCUGAGAACAAGUGACGUUGUCCUAGUUUUUUCUACGUUUUGCUUGAAGAUGACCAUUGACUUGAGGAAGAGCUGAACAUGACUGAAAAUGUAUUACUAUCGUCGGUAUGAAUCCAUGGGUUAUGGAUACGUACUGAUAGAAUAUAUCAUUAUGUACAUAAACUUUUCGGGCAUGAAGAAUGCUUCUUGGCAUGUUCCCUGUUGCCCCAUAAUUGGGGAAGCUGAUUUGAUUUAUUGCAUCUUGAAGCAGAUGUUGCCCUGUUCUCCUACCUCUUCCCUUCUAAUGUUCCACUUUGAUUAUAUAAACUUCCAAAAUUGGUAAUGGAAGAAAAAGCACCGGCAAAGUAUGUGUCAUUUCAUAUUUGCUUUCAGCUUUAAAGAAAAUGCAAUGAGAGAGGGCAUUAAGUUACAAGGUCCUCAAUUUAAGAGGUGCUGAUGUUACACUGAGAAUGAACAGGGAGGGAGAGAUGGUUUGGCCACCAAGUGUGAUAGUUUAAUAGUGAUGCAUAAUAACCUGGCUGAAACUAUGCAAGUGAAAGUCUCAAAGAAGUACCAAAUGUUAACCACCGACGAAGGGUUCCAAAUUACAGAUCACCUCGGAUAUUUUUACCAGUCAAUGUGGGGCUUGAUUCGUAUCAACUAACCACCAAUCAUUUACUCCUUUUGCUUUUGGGCUGGGCCAUGACAAUGGUAGAUCUCUAUUUUACUUUGGUACCUUACUGCUUGAAAGUCCAAAACAACUUGAGCACUGAAAGUUAGGAAGCAUUACUGUAAUUGCUAUUUGAUGUAAUAUCCUUGGACAAGAACUUUGCUUUUGGGGAGUGUGAUUUUUGCCUUUUACAAUGAAUUCAAAAUUGUUGAUUUAAUUUGAUUGUCGACGACUUUUAUCACAUUUUCUGUGAUUAGUUUAGUGCUAUUGCUUUAUACAUUUGAGACAUUUGAGUACCUUAGCAGUACGUUUUGCAGUUGAAGGAUCCAGCCGUAGGUCAGCUAAACCAUUGUAUUCAAAUCUUAUCAUAUAUCAACUAAGUCGAUGACGAAGGUAUUAGCCAUUCUCUUAUUGUGGAUAUUCUUGCCAAUGCCAUUGUGAUGGGACAAUUUGAUAGGUGAUUUCAACUCAUGUCUUUUCUGUGAGUAUUUCUGGAUAGAAUGUCGGAAGCAAUUUGUAAGUAUGGCAUCUAUCUGUAUCAACAUUUUUAGGCCAGGCUUACUAUUCUCCGUGUCAUAUCAGUCACAUACUAAUGUUCUGGAUACAUGGCAUAUAAUCUUCAAUGCCGGCUAUUAGCACGUUGUAGAAUCCAUUAAAUUGUCACUAUUUUCUACUUGCCGAUAUAGGACAUAGACGUACUUGUUUUCUAAUUGACAUUAUGGAGAUUACGUCAAAAACUCUGCCCGGCAUCCAAGAUCAGAAUCUGAUGAGGAGUACCUCCUGUUUCAGUGUGGCUAAUUAAUUGGGUAAUCGAGUUUACGGUUUUCUCUCUCCUUUGUUGCUGUCUCUGGACAGGAGAUUUCAUUUAAUGGAUUCUCAUCAUGAUUAAUCCUCCAAUUGAAUAAAGUUUACGAGUAGGGAUGUGGUCGCCAUCUGAUAGGGCACGUGCUUGGUGUAUUCUUUGUUCAAAAUCGUGGUUGUUCUAGCCCUCUUGCAUAAUUUUUAAUGGAGCAAGAACUAGACCCUUGAAAUAAAUUUGGCAUUAGCGAAUGUAGCUUCCUUGAGAAUUCACCCUCUUGUUUUUUAUUUUUUAUUUUUUCUGACCUUAGUGCUAUCGUACUAAUUAAAUGGUCUUCGCUUAACCGAUGAAGUUGGCUUGGAAAAAUUAGAGUUGACAAAUGCAUUAUCUGCGACCCACGUCCAAUUUCCUUUUCUUUCUUUGUUUUUGGCUGAUGCAUGCGAUGAUGAGCUCAUCAAUAUUAAUCUGGGAACAUUCUUUGAGACAAAGUUUUCUGUGGUUUUUGCAGGUUCUUUGUACUUGUAUUUUGCUUGUCUGUUUCCAUUCAAGGAGUGAUUGUGUCUCUGCUCCGCUGCAUGUUUCUUUGACAUAGACGCCGGGAAUAUCUGGCUUGAGCUGUACAUACAUAUUAUAAUGCUGGGUUUCUCUACCGUCGUGACUUAUGAGAAUGGAAUAUAUAUGGUUGCAAGAUUCCACCAAUGCUAUGAACUGGUCAAAGGACUUGGAGUUUUUUAAGUUCAUUGUACUGUCACAGGCGAUUUAGUUGGUCAUCCAACUCGAGGUUUUGUGGUUCAGGUUUUGGUGCAAGCUUGCUGUUCUACAAUGCCUGCCGGUCGAAUUUUUCUGCUGACAGCUGCAUCUUCAAGAUUCAUGAGUGAUCCGAGAUUCCAAGUCUCGCAAGCAAGCUAUUGUUGGAACUGGACUGACCGUCUUUAAAAAAUGCCAUGAGCAAGAAAUUGCUUUUCCUUCUUGUUUCCAUCUGUCAAUCUUGGCAAGUGGGAAAUAAAGAACGCUCCCAUCAGCCAUCAUAUGUAUUGAUACCAUGUGCUGCUCUAGUCCUAGAGCUUCAGAAGAUGGUAAUUCUUCAUCCAUGUGCGUUUAGUCAACUUUUGACUGUUUAGGUCAGUCUGUUACCUCGUGAUCUUGUUGUCAUCACGUUUACCCAUUUUUAUCUCUUCCAGUAGACAGAUUAUACGAGAAAAGAAAGAACCAAGCUAAAAAGAAAGGGUAUGCCCUGUCGAAUAGACUCUUUCCCUUUCUGUUGAUACAUCAUCUGUCCUUUGAGAGCUGCCCCAAAACACUAGCUUUUCGCAGCAUCGCGAUAUUGUCUACCACGUCAAAAAUUAAUAACGAAAGGGAUCUGCUUUAGUCGUCAUCUUUUUCUUCUUUUCUUUAAUGACUCGGAUUAGAUAUGCACCAUUUUGACGUUGACUUUGAAAUAUAUAAGGUAGAACAAAUUGUAAGAACACGCCAGCCACGGAUUGGUCGCUACUCUCAUUUCUUUCUCCUCUCUCUCUUUUAUUUUCCCACUUGCAAAUUCUAACCGUAUCACCUCAAAUAACAGUGAAUUUUUUUAAUACAAUGCCGUGAUUCGAGAUUAGUAGCCGGCGACAUGGUUUGAACUCUAUUUCACUGAAACCAUAAAGCCAUCAAAUCGGUCAGCGAUUGUUUUGAUGUUAUUCAAGAGCAUAAAAGCUACAACUUGUGGUCGAAUGUGAUGGCUUUUCUCAUUAUUCUGGCUCUUGGCGGACGUACAUGCCUAUUUUCCAGCUACACAGCAUCAAUUUUGAUGGAUGGAUAUAGGUAAAAUAGGUGACAUAUACAUACACAUAUAUAAUAUAGGGCUAUUGAAUUCAUUCUUGCAAUGUUGUCACGUGCAACAGAUGACUCGGAAAUUGAAUUGAGCUACCGUUACUAUCGUUAAUCGUCAUCUCGUCUUGGCCUUUGUCCGUUUCCCGAGCACUACAAGGAAAAAUUAGAAACAGAGUUGGAUGGCAACGGGCUUUUCCUUCCCCUGAAGGCCUAGAGGACCGUCCCUGAUGAGCAUCGACAACAGCGAGAUCACUUUCAAGGACAGAUUUAGCAUGCUUGGAGGUUGUUAUCAGCAGUAGUGUAUAGUUGGAGAAAAUGACACAAAUAAUCUCUCGACUUUAAUCUAAUGUGUAAUGUGGUUUCUAAAUUCUAAAGUUGUUCAAUGUAAUCAUUGAAUUUUAGUUCAUCGUCUAUUAUCAUUCAUGAAUUUUUAAUUUAUUUGAUGUGAUUUAUGAACUUUUGAUAUAUAUUUAAUCUAAUCAUUCGACUAUAUGAAAAUAUUCAUUACUGUCCAUGAACCUGAAUUAAUAAAAAGAUGACAUUGAAUUUUUUCAUAUAGUUCAAGUAUUAGAUCGAACAUGUAUCAAAAGUUUAGGAAAUAUACUAAACAAAAUAAAAGUUUGGGGACAACAUGCACAUUAAGCUAGAUUUCAUGGGAUAUAUUGAAUAAAUUCAAACUUCAUUGACCACUUCAAAGUUCAAAAGCCAUUUGUAUAAUUAUCCCAAUUAGCUGUGAGAGAGACACAAUGAUCAAUUGCUAUAUUUAUGGUUCAUUCUAAAUCUUAAAGUGUAUUUGUUUUACCGAAAACUUAUAAUGAAUGAAUAUAUUUUCCCCUUGGGAACAUUUUCAAGGAAAAUGCUUAAUUUUUAUUUGUUUGGUGAUUUACGAAAAGUGGUUUCUUUCUUACUAUAAGGGAAAGUAAUUUUCCCCUGAUCUGAGCUUAUUAUUUUAAGUUUAUGGAAAACGUUAUGCACAAAUCGAUUAGCAUAAGGGUUUCACCAAAAUAUCAUUUUAAGUUACCCUUCAGAAAACCUUAAAAUAAAUGUGCAUGAUCCAAAAUAAUCUUGUCACCAAUUUGAAACUUAAAAAAAUCAAUUGUCAUCAAGUUCAAACCAUACAUAAAAGUCGCCGUCUAGAUAUUCCAAAUGGCAAAUUGGGAGCACUCAUUGCUCACUGACUACACCAAUGUUGGCACAGCUCUCAGAGGUUGACCUUUCUGUAAGGUGAGGCCAAACUUGUCGUCCAUGUUCAUCUCUUCAGGCUCCAUCCCAUCCCACCUUCAAGCUUCCAAUUGAAGCAAUUAAGGAGCGAACCUAACAUGAUAUGCAACAUCCGCGAGGCCAAUGGCAAGCCUGGACAUAUACGCCGACCUCCGCCAAAUGGAAUCGACUCAGAACUUCGUCCUUUCACGUCGAUUUCCAAUCCGAGAAACCUCUCUGGCAUAAAUGCAUUCGGGUCCUCCCACAACAUACCAUCUCUCCCAAUGGCCCAUAUAUUGACAAAGACUCGUGCGCCUUCUGGAAUGGCGACACCGUUAAUUUCUAAUUCCGUCCCAGAUUUCCGAGGGAGCAACGGAAUUUGUUGGGUGCAAGCGAAAAGUUUCCAUGACGAUGGCCUGUAAAAAGGGUAAGCUAGUGAUGUCUGACUCAUCGACGAGAUUGCCCUUGCCGAUGACUUGAUCGAGCUCUGCAUGGGCUCUUGAUAGUUUCUCCGGAUUGUGGAGUAGCUCGGCCAUUGCCCAUUCUAUCGUGCCAGAAGUUGUAUCAGUGCCUGCAACAAACAAAUCCUAUGUUCAAUGAAUAAAUCCAAGCUCAAAAUCACUUGGUUGAAUAAUAGCUGAGCUGCAUAUUGAGCAUGUAAUAAUAUAGAGAUUCCUACCCUUAAAACUAUUGGGUACAAGCAAGAAGAGCCAUAUAUAGAGAAGCAAAGCUAAAAUACAUCGUGAAUUUUAAGAUUAGAAACACGAAAUGAUUAUACCAUAAGUGCUAUAUUCUAUGCAUGAGAUACAAUUAAUUAUUAAAUAUCUACUCACAUCUACGAUGGCUUUCUAAACCUUUCAGUUGGUGCGAUUUAAGUAUAAACCUUUAUAGGAAAAUGCAAUUCAAUUUUAGAAUUGUUUGAGAAAGUGCAAUUUAAGAAUGGGAUAAUACCCUAAAAUACCCCAAACCGGUACAAUUGUGACAAAUUUACCCCAAACUAUUUUUUUGAUCACAAAAAACCCCAAACUGGUAUGCUUUUGACAAAUUUACCCCAAACUGGUACACUUGUGACAAAUUUACCCUAUGUUAGUUUUCGUUAAAUUUUAUUCUCAAAUUAUAAAGUUAAAUAACACGUGACAGUUAACCAGUAUACCAAUUUAGGAUUUUACGUUCCGUUUGUCACAGUUUACAAUUUUUUGUGAUUUUUUUGUGGUAUUAAUCCAAUUUAUAUAGGGUAUAUUUAUCACAAAUUUACCAGUUUAGGGUUUUUUGCAGUCGAAUAAAUUAGUUUGGGGUAAAUUUGUCAUAAAUUACCAGUUUAGGGUUUUUUAUAGUUAGUCGGGGUAAAUUUGUCACAAGUUUACCAGUUUUGGGUUUUUCAUGGUCAAAAAUAUAGUUUGGGGUAAAUUUAUCACAAAUGUACCAGUUUGGGGUUUUUCAAGGUAUUAACCCUUUAAGAAUUUCACAUCCAAAGAUGCUGCAAGCAACGGGAAAGUAUGCACAUUUAUUUUGUUUCUCGUGCUCUUUUAACUUGUAAAACUGCUAAAGUGCACACUUUCAUAGGAUUCCAUUAGAUAUAGAAUCUUCGUAAGUCUUCGAAAAUUGUCUAUGUUCAAGGAUUUCUUAUAUCACUCGGCUAAAAUGAUUUUUACUAGUAGAUUUUGGACUCUAGUGUCUGAGAAGACACUUCAUCUUCAAUAAAAUCAUAAGAAGUGUACUAGUCAACACGAUUAAGUGACAGAAGUGUAGAUAUUUUGUGGAACUCACACACAGAUGCAUUUUUAUGUGAAUUGAUGGACCUCUUGUGGGGAAAAAAAGAAUACAUUGAUGCUCUAUUUGUAUCGCAAAAAAUGAUUAUUUUGGAAAAAUAUUUUCUUACAAAGAAUCACUUAUAUAAUUUGAAAAUUUAGUUAAUGAAAAUUUUUUUUAUUGUCGACAACAAAUCAUGUCCAAAUAUUUUGGUGGAUAAUGAUGAUAAUAAUUCUUGUUCAUUUAUUUUUGUAAGCAACGCAAGCAAUCCUUCUUAGAAAAAUGUUUUACAAAUCAUUCAUUUUCCGCGAAACAAACGGAGCCUUGAUGAUGAACAAUUUUGGUUUCUGUCAAUAAAUUAGUCAUGAGAAAGCUGAGUUUAAGAGGUGAUUAGAGGUCAUCCGAUGCAUUCUGAGGUGAUUAGAAGUCAUCUGACGCAUUCUCCUAUUCGAACUUCUGUCUUAAAUUUGGCACACGUAUAAUGACGUUUCCAUAUUCCUUGAGUAAGCAAGCAUGUUUAACUGGUGCAUGCACCAUUUGCUUUAAUUUUCUGUAAAUUGGGGAUGUGAGGUUGGAGGACUGAAGGAUAAAAAGGGGCAUGCAUGUGAAUAGUUGCUAAUUCUCAACCUCUGAAGUUGGAAUGAGAGACUUGAACUAAGACCAAACUUGCCGCAAAGCAUCCUGUUGCAUCAUUGCUUAUUAGUGGCUCGGAAAAUUCAUUUACGUCGAUUUCUCUCUCUGGCCCAUAGAAGGGUUGUUGCUGCUAAGCAUAGUUUUCAAAUGUCCACUGGAAACUGAAUAACUGGAAAACUGUUAGAUGUAUACACUAUAUAGUUUGAUUGUUGUGAUGCAAUCCGCUUUAAGAUCUGGUCGAACAGUUAUUUCUUUAAAGUGGUGAUCCAAUGACUGUUGUUUCUUUUGCAGGCUGAGAAGAAGAAUCCGGUUGGUCUGCAAGAACAAGUAAUUAUAUCUAUUUUUUUCAUACCUAUUUGGGAUAAAGGAGGCUGAAUAUUGAGAUGAAGCUGAUAUAGGUGCACGUUUUGCAGGUUUUUGUGAGAAAAGUGAUUGAAUUACAUGAUAGGUACCUAACAUAUGUCUACAAUUGUUUUGAGAGCCACGCUGUUUUUCACAGGUAUGAUGCUGUUGCUGCUGGUUCUGCGGGAACUUCUAUUUAUGCUUAAUCUCAAGUUCUCUGCUGUUCUGUAAGCUUGAAAGAAGGCUUCCGAGGUCGUCUUCAGUAAGGAGUCAGUGGAAGCUCAACUGCAGAAUUGCUGGCCACUUUUUAUGACAACAUACUAAAGAAAGGUGGUGGUGAGAAGUUGACUGAUGAAGUUAUUGAGGAAACGCUUAAGGUAUUAUUUUGCACUUACACACUAAUGGGCUAAUCACAUCACAUUCUACCGUUCUCGAUUCCUUUUUCUUUGGUCAUUGCACUCGUGGUAAAGCUGGUUGCCGAUAUGGGUGAUAAAGAUCUAUUUGCUGAGUUCUACAGGUGAUUAUUUAUCCAGCUCUUGCUAUUACCUGCCUGCAAUCAGAAGUCCUCUGUGGGCAAACCAUAUUGACGGAAUCUAUUGGUUAUUAACUAUGGGAGGAAAAAGCUUGCGAGGCGACUUCUUUUUGAUUAGAGUGCUAAUGAUGAUCAUGAGAGAAGUAAUUUGACCAAGCUAAACCUACAUAAUGCGGCAGUCAAUUCACCUCAAAGAUGGAGGGAAUGGUCGGUUGCCCUAAUUGUCACUGCUGAUUAACUGACUUCUGCAAUAUUUGAUGCUAGGCCAACUAUUUUCCACAAUUUGCCGAAUUAUUUUUCUUUCAGAUGAGAGAUUUGACAUUGGCAAGGGAAAACAAAACUAGUUUUGAAGAGUAUCUCAGCAACAAUCCUAAUGCAAAUCGUGGGAUUCACUUGACGGUUACUGUUGUGACAAUUGGCUUCUGGCCGAGCUACAAAUCUCCUGAUUUGAAACUUCCAGCAGAGAUGGUAUGCGUGUCAUCCUUUUCAUCUUUCGCCGUUUCUUCAAGGAAGCGUUCUGUGUGCUGCGCGUAUGUGUAUCCCCUUCUCCUUUUGUCGCACUACAUUUAACAAUUUGCUUUUUGCUAGAGUUGCUAAUAUCACUGGUCGUUUUUGUGUCAUCUUAGGUAAGGUACGAUGAGGUUCUCAAGGAAUUCUAUCAGAAAAAAACGAAAGAGAGAAAACUAACGUGGAUAUACUCCUUGGGUACAUGUGACAUGGUCUGAAAUUUUAAACCAAGAACAGCGGGGCUGAUUGUCACAACUUAUCAGGUCUCUUGAAUAUAAUUGUUCCAUCUUUUUCCACCCUUCUCUUUUCCUUUUGUUUCCCCCUCCACAGUCGCCAGGAUAGAUAGAAGGGGUCACCUGCCACAAAAGGACACGCGCGAAUAGGCAUCUGCUUUGCUGCUUUUCAACACCUCAGAGAGAUUAAGUUAUUCAGAGAUCAUGAACCAGUUAAAUCUGAGCAACAGCAACGUUGUUAGACUUCUGCACUCAUUGUCAUGUGCCAAGUACAAAAUUAUCAAUAAAGAGCCAAAAACAAAGACAAUAUCAUUGACCAAUCACUUCGAAUUUAAAACGAUGUUAAUUGACAAAUUGAGAAGGAUCAAGGUAUAUAUUGUUGCUCGACAUUUUUCCAUAUUUUUCCCUUAGCUUUCAAUUCCUAUGCAUUCAAAUGACUGUGAUCUGCCAAUCACCAGAUUCCACUCCCUCCUAUGGAUGAGAAAAAGAAAGUAAUUGAAGACAUUGAUAAGGAUCGGUGCUAGGCCAUAGAUGCAUCAGUUGUGUGCAUCAUGAAGAGUUGGAAAGUUUUAGGUUAUCAGCAGCUGGUUAUGGAGUGUGUCGAGCAGUUAGGAACCAUUCUUUAGGUCUCUGAUGAUCGCUAUCUUUUCUCCUAAUUAUUGUUUUUUUGCUCAUCUCCCUUGCAAAUGUGUGCUCAUCUUUAUUACAUAAGAACUUGUCCAUUGCAGCCUGAUUUUGAGGCGAUCAAAAAGCGGAUAGAAGAUUUGAUCACUCAGGACUAUAUGGAGAGGGAUAAAGACAAUCCUAAUUUGUUCAAAUAUCUUGCAUGAAAAACUGCUAGUCUUCCGUCACCUACAGAAGUUGCUGCAGAUAUGGGAAACGGCAGAGGGGAGUUCAAUCAUUUUCUUUCCAAAGGUUUUAGAAGAUCCAUGAGUUCAGCUGUACUUCUUCCACUUGAUCGAUUGGGAGUGCACGAGCUGAAAACACCUGUACGUUUUGCUUUGAGUGCCAAGUAUCAAUGGUUAAAGAAUUUGCACCCAUCCUGGAAGAUAUCAUGUAAUGACUGAUCCUUAGAGCAGGACCAUCCAGCGUCUUCUGUAUCAGAGCACACAAAUGACUAUUGGUAUUUUUGGGUUAAUUUGUCCUUUGUCUCAAAUCUCAAGAAUGAGAUUCUACUUUUUUUUAACAUAAAUUAUUAUUCUGAUUUCGGUCUGUGCAGCAAUACGUCGGAACUUUCUUUUCUUCUGAACUCUAGCAGCAAUUAGGUUUUUUACAGCCUUGUUUCAUACUGGUUCUUCAUCGAAGGGUAAUUUAUAAUUCUCACUUCAUUUUGGGUAUGUGUGAUGGUGAAAUAACUUCAAGAAUUUGAUCAUAGUAUUGUGUUAGAAUUUUGGGUGAGUGCAUUGCCAAACUCAUGCUGAAUCAGUUGACCAUGCAAAGUUCCUGUGACCAAUAAAUACACAUGAUUGGUCAAAAUUCGGGAGGUCCUAAGAAUUUGAUAGCAAAAUUUGUGGUCCAGCACUGAGAAGUGAAAUUAUAUCUUUCGAUGUUGUGUAUUGAAGCAGCCUUCAGACAGAUUUGGUAUGGUUUUAAACAAAAGUCUCAAGUGCAUGGGAAUGAAUUCGCCCGUUCAGCACUUUGUCUGCAAGAACAAGUAAUUCUAACUUUUUCAUGUCUUAUUUUGGAUAAAGGAGGCUGAUUAUCCAGAGGAAGCUUAGACAGGUCCACGUCUUGCAGGUUUCUGUGAGGAAAGUGAUUGAAUUACAUGACAAAUACCUAGCAUAUGUCAAAGAUUGUUUCAAGAACCACCCUCUUUUUCAUAAGAUAUGCUGCUGCUAGUUCUGCUUCUGGGCAUCCCUGUUCAUGCUUAAUGUCAAGUUCUCUGCCCUUCUGUACGCUCAAAAGGAGGCUUUCGAGGUCUUCUGCAAUAAGGGUGUCGUUGGAAGCUCAAGUGCAUAGCUACCGGCCACUUUUUUUUGACAAUAUACUAAAGAAAGGGGGCGGUGAGAAGUUGAGUGAUGAAGCUAUUGAGGAAACGCUUGGGAAGCUGCUGUUUUGCAUUAUACAGCAAUGAGCUAAUCAAAUCACAUUCGACUGCUCCUCAUUCCUUUUUCUUUGGUCAAGGCACAGGUGGCAAAGCUGCUUGCCUAUAUCAGGGAUAAAGAUCUAUUUUGCCGAGUUCCAUAGGUGAUUUUUUAUCCGCCUCUCACUGUUACUUGCCUGCAAUGAGAAGUCUUCUGUGGGCAAAACUGCUGGCCACUUUUUUUGUUAUUCUAUCUGCUUCACAUCGUGCUUUGUAAAUUGCUCUGUUUGUUGGCACUAAUCCUCUGUUUUAUUUUUAUUUAUUGAAAUUUGAAUUUAUAAAAUAACAUAUGUGUACUAUUGAACUAGUGUGAUUUCUGACCAAAAAAAAAAAAUAGUGUGAUUGGUCAUUUUCUAACUAUUAUUAUUAUUAUUAUUAUUAUUAUUAUUAUUAUUAUUAUUAUUAUUAUUAUUAUUAUUAUUAUUAUUAUUAUUAUUAUUUAAUUUAGAAUUUUUAUUUUAUUUUUCCUAACAGUGAUUAGGGGCUCUUACAUUUUUUGAAAUGUUAGUCUUUUUAAGCCUAAUCUCUUAACAUUUGGAGGGUUGUGUUUAUUCGGACAUAACUUCUUCUCAUUGAAAUUCGAAAUUAUAAAAAAAAAAUUUGAUUUUUAUUCCGGAUUUUCAAUAUAUCUUUUCAAUAUGUUUUUGAGAAAAUAUAUGUUUGGAACAAACUUUUCCUGAAAUGUUGCAUUCGAUUCUGAAAAGAUUGAUAUAUUCAUGGUUUUACGUCUCAAUUUUUUUAAUUCACUUUUUUUUCCUUUUUUUCUGAAAAGAUAUACAGCUUGCUUUCCAGUUAUUUCCUUUUGAGAAAUCCUUGAAAAACUACCAAAAUUGUUAAAUGGUAUUCUCACUAAGACUUUGUUAUAUUCAGGAGGAUUUUUGCAAGGUAGAGCAAAUAAUUCCUUGAAGAGACGCCUCAAAAUCCGAUUCAAUUUCUUCCCAUUCCAGACUAUAUUUGCCAACGAGAUCUCGUUGUUUCCAGAGCAAAACAGAACUCUGAAAGGGUCCUACAGAGACGCCACGACGCCGUCCAGGUCUCUGGCCAGACAGCACCCCCGCAGGGUUGUUCACCUCAGCCGCCCUGUGUUUGACUCGCUCCUGAAGGUGAGGAUCCAGUGCCUCCGUUCCCUUGCAGAGCAAAGAGGGGUCGAAGCUGCUAGUGACUGGAGGGCCUCAGAGCUUAAACGGGGGUUGGUAUCUGGCUUUCUGGAUCGAAUCGCAUGGGCGUUCAGUAUGGUGAUCCCUGGUGCGAACACAGAGAGCACCCACAAACUGAGUUUUUCUCUCUCCUUUUAAUUUUACAACGCUCCAAGAAAUUCUGUUCAUUGACAUUCGAUUCGGCCUGCGGCUGGGUUGCCGACUCAUCGCUGCUAGGCGCCGCUGAGCCAAAGACACAUCCAGGUUGUCGCUGUUGCCAUCCAAGUCGCGUGUCGCCCUUGUCGGAGUAGGGCAAAGCUUUGUCAAUGCCGACUUACACCCUUGUACGUCAUAGGUAUGAGCCUCGAACAAUCUUGUUGAUUAUCAUUUAGCAUGAUUAUAUGAUUAUCUUGGGUUUGCGUUAGAUUUUCGGCGAAACUAGGAAAUCACGAUAUGUUCGAUGCUUGGGUCUUACCCUCUAAUUAUUACUCUGUGUGUGUAUAUAUAAACAAAUUAACAUGAAUUGCUGUCAAUUUGGCAUUGGAGGAUUUAUCUUAGCCCCUAGUCUGAUUUGGCAUCUAAGUAUAUUCAGAUUUUAAAGAUUGAUUGCUAUAAUGGUAUACAUUAGCAUUGGAAAAUUUGAUUACUACGUCGGCUAUGGGCCACUGGCACCUUACCAAUUGGAUGGGAUGAGGAGUUUAACAUGCUACCACCUAAGGAUAGCGAUUCGUCUGUACGCACUCGUCGACAAACCUUGAAAGUGCCUCACGACCUGCUUAAAGGACAAUGGUUUGAGGCUGGGGAGAUAUUAGGACCAAGUCAAUCAAGUUCAGAUUAGCCGGCUUAGCCUGACUCUCUUGGCCACUUACAAAUCAAAGUAAUUUAGGUCUAGGAACAUGGUUUGGAAAAGGAACCUUGAAAAGCCAAUAGAGAACCAAAGAAACAGGAUCUCCAAAGAUGGAAAGGACUGAGUUCCAAUUCACUAAUUAGGAGGUGAUGGAGUUAGAAAACCUCACACUGCAUAACUCCAUAAAUCUCAAAACAAUUAAAAUAUCAGCUAAAAUUAAUCAUAGACCUGACUCUAAGGUUUUGGUCGAUGGAGAAUCCACAUUGAACCUUAUUCCAUACGGCUCAGGUCAUCUACUUUUCGUGAUGCGUACUUUGCUGCUUUAUCUUCGUGUUACCGAUCUUGAUUGUGAUUGUUUAUUUAUUUGGUUGCCCAUUCAUGCAUGGUCACCACGUAAUGGUUUAAGUUUUUAAAAUGGAAGAAGAUCACAUACAAAUAUUUCAAAAAAAUGAGAACAAAAUGGUGCCUAAUUAGACUUGGUGUAACCAAGUCCAAAUUUUUAGGAUCUCUGGUUCAUGGAAAGUGCAAUGACUUCUCAUAUUUCACUUGACUCCAUCAACCUAGAAUAGGUUAGUGGUGACUCUCAAAAGCAAAAGAACAUGUUAAUCAUAAUGACCAAAUUAACCAAAUGUCGCGAAUUAAGACCCGCUUAGCAUAACAUCAUACGAGGCUUCGAUUGUUCUCACAUGGCAAGUCAUCAUUGUAAUUGACGCCCUGUCCAUCCUCCGAGGGAGGCUCGCGCCUAUACAUACUAGCAAAAAAAAAAAUUACACAGAUUAGCAUAUCAUUGAUUAUGUUUGAAGACAUGAAUCAUUCUAGAAGAUGAGACUGUAAAAUGAAAAUUAUUUGAAGGAUAAAAACGUGCUUGAAAAUCGUAACUAAAGAGAAUCUUUGAAAAAAAAAAUGGUAUUUUAGUGAACGUGCUUUAGAUGGAAAUAAGAUAAGCAUACAUUGACACUAUUAUAAGUCAUUGAGAAAAAUGUUUGAAAAGUCAACCUAUUACAUUUUGGUUAAUUUAGUCCUAAUUUUUUUAAUUUUAUCAAUUGACUCCUAAACUCUUCUUAUGUUUUGCCAAUUGAGUCAUUUCGGUUAAUUUUAGCCAAAAAUCGCUGACAUAGAUGCUGGGGUAUCCUACAUGGUAUGGUCAGCAUUAACGUUGACAAUUUUAUAAUUUUUUAAAAAUUUCCAUUUUUUUAUUUUCUUUCAUUGUUUCUUUUUCUCUUUUUUUCUUCCAACCCCCAUGAGGGUAGGCCAACCCUCAUCGGUCAAGGGCAAGGGAAGUGACCCUUGCCCAAUGGCUAACGAGGGUUGGCGGGACCCUCGCCGAACUUGGUUGAAAAAAAAGAGGGAAAAGAAAGAUAUAAAAAGAAAGAAGAUAAAUAAUAAUAAAAUUAUAAAAAAUGUUCACUUCAGUGCUAGUCAUCCUAUGUGGCACUACCGGUGUCCGUUUCAUCGAUUUCCAGUUAAAAUUGACCAUAUGGUUUCAUUUGGCAAAACGUGUAAAGAUUUAUGAUUCAAUUAGCAAAAUUGAAAGGUUUAAAACUCAAUUGACUAAAGUACAAUAGGUUUAAGACUUUUUUGAUGAUUGUUCCAUAAGUUAUAAUUAUCUCAACUCUUCCAAAUUUCCAAUUUUCCAUUAAAACUAGGGGUGAGCAUCAAGGGUAGAACCUAGAACCUGAGAACCAAACCGAUGUGGACUUGUUUGGCUCCAAGUUCCAAGGUAUACAGAGUUGAUUUCAAAUUCUAAAAAUUUGGGAACUUGUUUUAACGGAUAGGUUGCAAGUUCUAGAUUGGUGGUACUUAGAACUUAGAACCUAGAAUUUGGAAAAAGUUUCUAUAUUUUUCUUAGUUUAUAUUUUCACACAAAACUUGCGAUACUCUAUGGUAUUUAAUAAUGAGUGUAUAAUCUGAAACCACUAGUCUGAACUUCCAUUUUAUAACUAAGACUUUUACAUUGUUAAUGUUUUAUAUUUUUUCGUGUGUCUAAAUAUAAGUUAUGAUCAGUAAAUUGUAACAAUAAGUGGUAGUAAUUAAAGAUUAUAAUUCAUUGUAAUCGUUCAAUUUAUAAUAUAAGUGGAACAUAAGUAGACCAUGGAACCAAAACGAGAACCUAUAAUGGGAUAAGUUCUAGGUUUCAAGGUAUAAAUAGUAGAUUCUGGGUUCCAAAAACUGAGGAACUUAUUUUAACAGGAAGGUCUUAAGUGGAAUAUGUAUAGAACCUAGAAAUGUUUACCCCUAAUCAUAAUGAUAAUCAUAUUUUGACUUAUUAUAUAUAGGAUGGACCAUCAUUAUCGUAUUUUGGAAAAUGGUUUCUGAUUUAUUUAAAGAGGAAGUCCAUUUUUUGUAUUUAAAUAAACUUUUCUUGAUAAUUAUGUAAAGAUUUUCUAUUGACUCAAUUUUAAAAUAAUCCAAACACUGCAAACAAGGAAAAUAUUCCUCAAUAGUAAAUUUUUACUAAGACAAUUGGUUUUUAAAUGUUAAGUACAUCAAAUGGGACCAUAAUUAUGCAUUAGAAUGUGGAAAUGAUUCAUCCAUAGUCGUACCGUCCAAGAAAAUGUAUCCUUAUUUGGUUAUAUUCGAUCGCACUCAGUCUUCGGUUUUCGUACAAAUGCAAUAAAUUGACUCAUAUUUAUAUAUUUAACAAGUUGAGAUUGAAUUGCUAAUUAUCAAUUACACAUCUCACGGCAAAAAGUUAGUGCACUACAUACGUACCUUUUAACAAAAUCCUAUUUGUAUAUCAUUAGAUCGAUUCCUCUAAUUAAUGAAGUUGAUUAAUGAGAUAAUACUUUUUAAAAAGAGUAAAAAUUGAAAGAACUAUAACAUAGCUAUCUUGCAACUCCUCCGGUCAUUGAUGAAGCCAUCGUAGUACAUAUAUUUUAAUUAUCAUCAUUAGAGAUAAGUACAUUGUAAAACGUCCUUACAUCAUAUAUCAGUGUAUAUAUUAUCAUAAUAUGGGUUAAUAUAUUUGUCAUAAAUUUGAAAUGACGUCAAUGUAUUGGAAAGCUACUUGACCAUACGGUUCACUAAUUAAGGAGGAACUAGGCAAAAUUAUAGUAGUUCUUGCCAAGUUCGGAAGAACUAUAAUGUGUUUAAAUGAGAAAUUUAUAUCAAGCACCAACUCAUCUGAUAAUGGAAGCUUGGUGACGUAGCUGUGGUCUUCUACAUCCAAUUUCUGUCAAGCCCUUCUCAAAAGCUACUUACAUUCAGCACACAUAUGUUACCUAACUUCAUCAAAUAAAUGUAAGUUGUAAUCAAUACCGACUGUAUGGCUAAACCAAAUGUGUGUUGAAGAACAAAUCUACAAAAUAUAUGAUUAAACACUCUAACCAUAUUUACCAUGAAGAGUUUCAUAAAGUAACACAAACUUUGCUUAAAUAGUCUCUAAAAGGACAAAGGAGACAACCAGAGUAAUUCACAAACUUUGCUUAAAUAGUCUCCAGAGGACAAAGCAAACAACCAAAUAUAAAUUUCAAACUUCAGCUAUACCAUAUACUAUUAUUUAAAAUCAUGGGCAUUUCCAUUAGAUUUCAUAAGUGAUCCCUACUUUGAGCAGCCUCUUGUGGGGAACGUUGAACACGUCCUCUGGCUGCCUCACGCACCUCUUCAACCAGUUGUACAGGCAAUUGAUUACAACCUUUUUGCAAAGCCUGAACCCCUCGAAGCUUUCACCUCACUCUGUCCCAUUAGAUACAUGAUCCCUCCAAUCUUGAUUGCUUCAUCCACCAAUCCAAUGAUCAUCGCGAUUCCAUGGUCACUGGCCUCACCUCGCUCGUCGGCGUAGGGUGCGUUGUUGUGAAUGAAAUCCUUCGUUGUGAAUGAAAUCCUUCAAUUGGUCAAUCAAGACCUUCUCGAAGAAUUGCGGCUCUAUCUUUGCAUCUCGAUAUCCGUAUCUCACAACGCACCGUUACAUGCCCGACACCUGCGGCUCCACCUGUCGAAAGAAGAACCGCUCCUCGAGGGGCACGUUGCUUAUGGGUAGUGACUUGAUUGAGACGAAGACAAGGACUGAGUGCAAUGCAGGUACAUGGGCGACAUAUUGAGCGAAUAUUGGGGAAAUGCCAUGGACAAGCUCGGUGUAGAAUAGGGCGACCCCAGGGGCCCGGUGGAUCGUGUUUGACACGAUCGUGACAAGGGCUUCUCUUGAUACCUUAUUCUCAAGCUGAAACUCAUACUUCUUUCGAUAUCCGUAAUUCCAUAGCAACAUAAUGGUCAUCAUCACGGCAGCGAAGAAGAGUGGGACGUAACCCCCAUCCAAGAAUUUGUAGAGGACUUAGCUUAGAAACACGUACUCUACGAGCCCGAUGGUGAGGACAUAGAGGAUUACGAGGAGUAUGUUGGUCUUCCAAAUCAUGACCAUCACGAUAACGAGGAAUGUGGACGUGAUAGCGAAAACAAAUGCUACCGCAAUUCCUGCAGUAGAGAUUCCCGAAUAAAUGUGAAUUUUUCUUUCAAUAAUCCCAAUUAAAUAGCUCAAUCAAUUAGAGAACUUGCAUAAGUGGGCUAAAUGUGUGUAUAUAGUGUGAUCCUUUUUGCUUACCGUAAGCAUUGCCCAACUUCAAUGUGGUUUUGAAGCCAAGAGUGACUCCAACACAGGUCAACAUGAGGAGGGUGUUGACCUCAGGUAUGUAAAUCUGACCCUCGUGCUUUCGCGAAGUGUGCACGACCUUCACGUUUGGGAAGCACCCGAGCGCGACUGACUGCUUAACUAUGGCAAACGUGGCUGAUAUCAUGGCUUGACUUGCUAUUAUCGCCGCCAACACCGCAAUCACAAACAUUGGCCAAUACACCGAUUCUGCAUCAAACCAUCAGAUAAAUUCAUUCGAUGUUCCAACAGGAUAAAUGAUGCAUCGGAUGAAGUAGCAUGAGGAAGCUUACUGGGUAGUGAGCUGUAGAAAGUGCUAGCAACAUUUUCACUGUGCUUUCGGAGAUAUGCCGCUUGACCAAAGUAGGCGAGGAUGAUUGAAGGAAGGACAACUAGGCAUGAACUCAAUUGAAUUGAGAGGAUAUUAAAGUGCCCCAGAUCAGCAAACAAUGCUUCAGAACCUAUAAUCAAAGGCUCAAAGAGUAAAACCACAAUUAAUUCUUCAAAAGAAGUUAUAUAUCUUGGUUAAAAUGAAAUAAGAAUUAACUAAUAGAUGAAUCAUUUAAAUGAUGUUUAGCUAUAUGUUUUCAGUUAUAAUAAUUAAUCGAUGAAAAGAUUCAGACGUUUGGAUUACCAGUGAGGCAAAGAAUCACCCCUCCAAGAGAAAUCCAUGCUUCCUUUUUGUUUCUCAUGAAGUAAUGGACGAUGUAGAGCGGAUUGACGGCUUUGAUCACUCCCGAGUCAUGUUUCGCGAUAUUAUAGAUGCCAAUUAGUCCGAUACCAAGGAACCAUAUAGAGAGAAUCGGGGCAAAACUGUAUCCAACUUUGUGAGUCCCGAACCUUUGGACUUGAAACAGAAGGAUCAAGAUCACCACAGAGAUCCACAUUAUUUGAUUUUCUCCAAGUGAACUUGCAGCUCCUUGUAUUCCCCCAACAGCCGACAAUACUGCCCCCAGAGAAGAAGAAAAGAAUCAGAACCAUCUAUCAAAAUUCAACCGAGAGAAGUAAUUGUAUCAAUAAAUAAGCCGAGACGAUGUAUAUUGUUGUUUUAUACUACCGAUUGAAUGUGCUGUCUCAUUUCCUUCGUAGAUUAAGGGAAAAGUUAGAAACCUAUUGGUGCAUCCUUUUCUUUUAAAAAAAAAAAUCUUAAUGAAAAUAUUACUACCGGAUAUGCAUGGUGUAAGAAUUCCAUCUCCAAUGACCAUGGCGGUGCCCAGAAUAGUUACAAAUAAGAGCAAGUACUUGGCUGCUUCGCUAUUCUCGAGAAAUAAUUUCAUGGCAGAGGCCCGCCGGAAGUGGCGGCUCGGCACCUCAAGUCGGUAGUUUGAGACUUCCUUGUCUUCAGCUUGUUGGUUAGGGGUCAAGCUUGCCUUAGCAUAGCGGCACAUUAGAGAGUACAAAGCAAAUGUCCCUCCUAUAUUGUUAUAGCCAAAAACCUAACUACAUUAGUGCAAUAUUUGGUAUAGACAAAAAAUAAAAAUAAAACCCUUGUAUGUCAAAUCAAAUUUUGUGGUAUAAUGGUGUGAGAGGAAUCGCUUACCAUCCCCAUUGUCAUUUGCCGAUAAAACAAUGAAGACAUACUUGAUCAGGCCAAUGAGGAUGAUCGAAUAGAAGAUUAGAGAUAGCACUCCAAGGAUAUCGUCUUCAUGUUUUAUCCCGUCAGGAAAAAUUCCUGACAUGACAUAGAGAGGCGAUGUGCCUAAAUCGCCGUACACCACCCCGAUGCUUUGAAUAGCAAGCUUCAAUAUCAUCACCCAUGCCAAAUUCUGCACUUAGAAAGACAGUAACCAAAUCAUGAUCAUGAAAGCAUUUCCUUAGCUUCACUCUUGCUGCGAUUUUGUUUUAAGUUUCAAUUGGUUAUAAUAAAUAGUCCAAGAACAAACAUAGGAAACAAAAGAUGCAAACAAACAAUUCGAUAGAAUGGUAAACAUUAAACUCCGCAUAUCUCUUCAUUUAACUCCAUUAUUUUCACUUCCCUCUAUAUUUUCCUAAUCACAAGCCUUCAAUUUUCAUGCCUUUUAAACUGGAAAUUUAUCUAGCUAAUUAGCUGAUAUAUAAUGGCAAACAUCACGACAUUUAACCAUCCUCUUAGUAUUCUACCUUUCUUCCCUAUGCAUUUUUACAUUUAGCUAAUUCGAGUGAUAUGCCAUUCUCAAAUUCAAAACAACAUAUCCCUUUCAAAUUCAUAUUAUAAUAUUUUUUAUCAACUCACAUGAUCGAAAGGAACUGAAAAAAAAAAUGCGCGUCAUUUUUCACUGAUGGAAUUUCAAAAAUUGUAUUAGCUACUCAUUCAUUCAAAAAAAAAAAUCUAGGGACUAUAUUCGAACUAAUUAUACCAAGGAGUAGCCUGAAAUUUUUUUAUUCCAACCGGAGUAUUUUUCAUGAAAGAAAAACUUUAUUCUUUCUUUUUGCUUUUUCAGGGAACGAGAAGAACACUGACCUCUUUGGAGGAAUAACCAUGGUCCGACUUGAAUCGGGAGGUCUCUAUGUCGAACGAAUCGAAUUUCUUGAUUUUCCUCGAUCCCUUGUCUCCCUCAUGUCCGUCAGUCGAGUCGACUUCCAAGACCUUCGGCCUCUCUUCCUCUGUUAUGCCGUCCCGCUCCAUUGAAGAAUCACAGCAAGAGAGAGAGAGAGGGGGGGGAAGAGAGAGACGAGAGUGAGCGGGAUAAUUACGUGACCACCUGCUCCAUAGGAGAAACACAGUCGACGCAUCACAUGGGAAGGAAAAGAAGGAUUCGUUGUUACGCGUUUACGUCUGCUGCAAAAGGGAAAUUGACCAAGAAGGGACCACCCUAUUUUUCCAUACGUAUCUCUUUACAAUCUGCUUUCCAGUUUUGGAAAAAAAAAAGGUUUGACUUAAUACCAUCGAUCGUGAAAGCGCGUGAAUCUUUUUUUUUUUUAGGUAAUGGGGUCUCUCGAAAAAGGCAUUAGCACAUGAGAUACUUUGAGAGAGAGAGAGAGAGAGAGAGAGAGAGAGAGAGAGAGAGAGCCGUCUUCAAACCGUCCUUCUGAUCUGUAGGUUAUAAAUUAGGGCAUUCAUCCGCUUUUAAUCUGUGUUAAUCUGAACGUGGUUGAUGUUGGUAAAUAUCGGUAACGCAUUAAUUAAAAAACUUUCUCCGAACUCCUCCAUAUAGCCAUUAUAACAUUUUAUUUUUCUAGUCAUUUGCCGUCGAAACUACCUAUUUAGUCAUAUGAUAUCUUUUUCGUGGCUGCUCGUGCUUUUAUCUUGUUGUCAUUACUUGAGGAAUUAAGUCUGAAAGUUGAAAAUAGCGGUGCGGGCUUAUCACGUGAUUUUUUUUAAAAGUGCAGUUUUCGAUUUUUUACGUUUGAACGUACAAAUUUCCAUAUGUUAACAAUAAUCCUAUUUUAUGGCCAAAAAACGAGACUCGAUUUUUGGAACAACAUCUGUCUCUAGAAGUAAAAGAUACCGUAUGCGUUGGUCAUUAAUUCGCCGGGGUAUCACUGAGAUCAAUCACCUAACUCCAAUUUCGAGCAAGGCGAUGACUUCAUUACUAAAUUAAGAACCCUCUUUUGGAAGAUUAUAUUUUCAGUAAUUCACUGAAAAGAUUAUGGAGAAAGUUCGUCGGUGAGGGUAUAAAAAGCAUGGGAUAUAUUCAAACGAAAUACUGCUGUUGCAUCAUUGUACGGAUCAAUUUGGCGAAUCGAUCAUCUAUCCCUAUCUUUUAGUUUUUAAUUUGAUUAGCAUAGUUGUUAUUAACAGAGAGUAGACUUUAAACAUGGUUGGGCGGACCGCUAGACAAGUGAAGUCCUAAGGUCAUAUUUGGUUGUAUGGAUUUUAGGUUAAAAUAGGAUUGGAUAAAUAGGAUAAGAAAUCUGAGAAUUUUACUAUAUUAUAUUUACCAUUUAAUGUAGCCAAUAAAGCCAUAUACUUUCAUAUUCUAUCACGUCAACUAUUUGAUAUGAAUUGCAAAUUAGUGUAAAUGAACUUGAAAAUGCACAAAUAAAAUGGGUAAGACUCUCUCAAAUAAAAAAACAGAGAUAACCUCCAUUAAUCAAUCAAUCAAUCAAGGGUUAUCAUAAUAUUAGAUAACAAAUAAGCUCAUUGCAACAUUCUAGAGCCACUAUGCGACUAUGAUAAGAAAUGUGAAUGAGCAUUGGUAAUACUGACAAGGUAGAUCCAUUAGCGUAUGUCAAGAAAGGAAAAAGAAAAAAAAAAUUAGAAAAUCUAAAAUAAAUUGAAAAAUAUCAUACACGUUAGUGCCGGCUAUGUCACGUAAAAUGGCUGAUGCUUGAUCAUAUUAUCACGUUAGUAAUUUCAGGCCAAAAUUGAUCAGGUUGACUACAUUGGAAAAUUGUUAAAAAAUUUAAGACAUAUUGAUUAAAUUAGAAAGUUUAGAACGGAAUUGACAACCAUGUAAUAAGUUUAGGAUUUUGUAGGCAAUUUUCCCUUUUCUUGUCACGUGUUCCAUUGAUUAAACGUGAAACUAAAUUUUAAACCUUGAUUUUGGAGAAUUUGAAUUUGGAACCUUUAGAUUUUUGGGAAGUGGAACAAUAAUUUAAUUUUGUUGAGCUUACUGUUUUAUUAAAUUAAACUUAAAAGUCUUAUUACAUUAAUUACUUUCCGCACCAGGGUUGAUUAACGUUUUUGUGGUCCAAAUUUUUGAACAAACAUGUCCCGGUAGCCUUUUUUUUUUUUUUUAAGUAGAAGUAUUUUUCUUGCCACCGUUCGCAAAUUCAUGUUUCGGUGCUGAGCGCAUAAAGUCCAUUUGUUUUUGCGGAAGUCCAUUUGUUUUGCGGAAAAUGCAUGAUUUUAAAAAUAUUUUACUUAUAAAAAUAUAUGAGCAAAAUUUGUUUUCAUAGUUUACACAAAUUUUUAUACUUCAAUUGUUUCCAACAAAAAUAAAUAUUUUUUAAUUGCUAAUUAUUUUAAAUGAUACAAACAAAUAUUUUUAGGAAAAUAUUUUUCAAAUCAUUAAUUUUUGCAAACAAACAGGACCUAAGGACACCCGUCAUUUUAAAUCUAAAGAGUUGCUGAGAAAUUCAACAAGUAUAUACUAUUGUAGAAAAUAUUUACUUAACCAGAUACAUAUAUACCAAAAAAGUAAAAAAGAAAAGAGAGUUGGAUCUUAGUAAGUUCUUAAAUUGCUAAGUCUUCAACUUAGACCUCGAGGCUUCCUAGACAUUAAGCAACUAGAGGGGAUUCCCUCCUCUUAAGAAAGAUAAAUAUACAAAGGAGAGCUUGGGGUUGGGCACGUGGGUAUCCGUACGUUAAAAUAAGAAACACAAUCCUGUCAUCCUGCUAGGAGACUUGAUAGGCAGGGUAGCCUCAACUCGGAAGUUCAUACUUUGCCUGAUUACAUAUAUAAAAUAAAAAAGGGGGCCGAUACAUAUAUACAAUUAAAAAGAGAAUCUAUUACAUACGUAUUUAGCCUCUUUGCUUUGCUCAUUUUUGUCACGCCCCGAACCCCGAGCGCGCGCGCAUCCCACUGUGGUCGAUCAAAAAUGCGACAUCCCAGGAUAUGUCGCCGACCCAUUCAUUUCUUUUACGCAUGCGGAAGCGAAACAAAUCUCCUGACAACAUUUAACUUGGGAUAGAAAAGCAGGCAAUCAAUCGCAAUACCAAACACCCAAUUACAAACACAGAGGGUUUAAAUACAACACUGGACUUUCUGCAAAAUAGACCAGCUCGACAAAAGGGGGACUAUCCUACAACCGACUAGCAGGACACGUUCUCCAACCCUUAUGACUUCACCUCUGCAACUCCUCAAGGCCUCAACUGAAGCUAUCUGGCCACUCCGUCCACCGGGGACCUGAAAUUUUAAUCCCACAACCGAGAUGAGACGAUCUCUCAGCAAGUUCAACCCCCUAAACCCCUAUUAGAAAGAAAAUACGCCCCGGGUGGCCUAGCCACAUCACACAGAGGACUUACCUCGGCUCAGCCUUUAUCUGCAGGUUAGCACAAUUUAUAUAAACCAACCACGUGCAAUUAUGAUAACUAGACAACCAUGGCACAAUCACAUUAUCAAACAAUUCAACCACUUGGAUCGUCUCAGCGAUCAAUCGACUCGGCCGAUUACAUGUCAUUCUAGCAAAUCAAUCCUUGCUCUCAACUAUGGCCCUACUUGGCAAAUUUAAAAUCAGUGGCAUCACGGCCCCACUCGGCGCGACCUUUAACAGGUGGCAAUUCACGGCCCCACUGGGCGCGACCUCUAAUAGGUGGCAUAUAACGGCCCCACUGGGCGCGACCUUUAUCAGGUGGCAUAUCACGGCCCCGUCGGACGCGACCUCUAAUAGGUGGCAUAUCACGGCCCCGUCGGGCGCGACCUCUAAUAGGUGGCAUAUAACGGCCCCAUUGGGCGCGACCUUUUUCAGGUGGCAUAUCACGGCCCCGUCGGGCGCGACCUCUAAUAGGUGGCAUAUCACGGCCCCGUCGGGCGCGACCUCUAAUAGGUGGCAUAUAACGGCCAAUCUCCCAUCAAUUUCUACACUUAGGAUUUCAUAAAGAAUCCCUAUAAAUCAUAAUCACACUCAAUUCAUCACAACCAAUCAUCAAUUUCAAAUUCUAAAUGCACAGCAACGAUCAGCACGAAAUUCUGAGCAAAUAAGGUCCCAAUGAAAAUUUUCGGAAUUUAAUAAAUAAUUAAAUUUAUUCCGUAAAUAAUUAAAUAAUAAUAUCCAUAGUUUUCGAAAUCCUCACUCAAUUUAUAAUAUCCAAUCAUCAAUUUCAAAAUCCGAAUGUACCGUAGCGACCGGCACGAAAUUCUGAGAAUUUAGGGUCCCGACCAAAAUUUUCGGAAUUUAAUAAAUAAUUAAAUUUAUUCCGAAAAUAAUUAAAUAAUAAUAUUUUAAUAAUUUCGAAUAAUAAUAUAUUAUUAAAUUAUUUAAUGAUUUCGGGAUAUUUAAAUAAAUCAAAAGUAAAUUCCUUUAUGUCACAUCAAUAUUUAUAUUAAUAUAAACACCCACUUAACUUUAAAUUAAACACAAUUUAAGUUAAUCAAGCACAUUAAUAUAAUCUACACUUAAAUAAAUUAAACUAACCACCUAAUAACACUUAACAUAAACUAAACACACCUAAAGCAUCAUUAACCCUCUAAGCGAGGUUUAGUGAGCUAAACUCACCGGAUUAGCGAACCGAGCGGACCAAAACGACGGGGACGCCGAGGAGAACAACUUUCCUCAAAGCGGGCCGAGCAUCCCGGCUCGGGAAGGCGGCCAAAACGGGCCAAACGUCCGCUGCAUACCCAUUUUUCUUGGUUGCUGUCCAUGGCGGUUUGAGGCCGAGAAUGGGCGGAUCCGGCGCCGGUUGAGGCGGCCAAGGGCGGCGGAGGAAAGGCGAAGCUCCGGCGGCGACGAACGGCGGUUCACGGCGGCGAGGACGAGCUCCGGUAGCUCUCGCACGAGCUGAACAGCAGCUCGGGAUGCCGGCCAAGCGCGGGCGAGCGCGGACGCGAGCGGACCGGCGAGCAGCGCACGGGCGGCGCAAGGCGGACACACGGCGACGGCGGCGUGCGAGCGGGAGCGGACGACCAUGGCUGCAACUCCUUCUUCUCUGCAAUUUUCUGGUCUUCGCACAAUGAAGAUGGAGGAGAAGCCAACGAGAGAGAGGAAGAAGAGAGGGAGGAGAGAGAAGGAGUGGGGGCUCUUUUCUUUUCUUUUUUCCUUUUCUUUAAUCCCUCACACAUGGCCCACCAUGACCUCACAUGAGGUCAUCUUCCACUAUCUCCCACAACCUUUCUCCAAUGGGUUCAUUUUACUUUUCCGCCGGGGCAUGAAACUUUGUACAACAAAUUCUUCAAUUCCACUUGAUUCUCUUCCAAUUGAAUCAAAUUGAAGUUCAUAAAAUUAAUCCAAUGUCACCACACUUCAAUUCACAUCUUCACUUGUCCAUAGAACCAACUUAAGUCCCAAAAGCACAACCAAAGACGAGCUUACUAUUUCUCGAGCCAAAUUAACCAUUUUCGGAUUUAACUUGCCAAAGAACUCUGAUUGCAUGAAAAAUCUUCCAAAGAUAAGUCAAUGAUCCUAAAAUGAUUUGUGACACACCCAGACUUCCAAUUUCUGAAUUCGAUCUCAAUUUCACGGUUAAUUUCACUUUGGCACGAUACUAGCGUGGCCCAACCUACCGGGUAGCCUUUAGAAAUUUUCAUGCAUUUGACCUGUGGUUGAUCAUCUCAAGCCACAAUGUACAUCUUUGAGACAUUGGUGACUUUCGGUUGUCGGGGAAAUCUCAAGGUUUCAAAUACGAACACAGGGUACCCAAUCGAUAGAAAAGUCGGUCCAGUGUCGAUCGACAAGGAUUAUGUGAUCCGGUGGAAUCACCCACACCUGAUCACAUGCCUCUGUCGAGUCGACCUAUCUCCGAUCUCUAAUCAAUUUUAAAUUGUGCCGUAAUGACCCUUGCAGACUAGCUCGGUCGAAAAGUCACUUCCUGAUCAAAUUCUCGAGCCUGAUGCAUUAGAAACUCUUAACAGCUUCACCCGAUAGACUAGUUUUCACAUGAGUGGCCGACUCAAGGAAAUGAACUAUAUGCGUGCCAACGAAAUGCCUGUCUCAAUUUAUUGAAAAUAGAAUUGGAAAAUCGGGAUGUCACAAUUUUAGUGUAUGCCUGGUGGUUGAGCUGCAUGAUCAUAUCUUUUGUCAACUAUCGUCGACUUGUUUGAUGCUUUUUUGCAGGAGGGUUUACACUAUACGUACUCAAAAGCCAUCUCAUGUCUAGUCCCAACAACUGUAUAACAAGUAUAGAGAAACUGUUGGGAAUAACUGAUCCCCAAAAACAGGAUUCGACACUAAAUCGAACCCCUAAAUCAAUGCGGAAGACGAAGCCCGGGAAAACACGUAUCACCAAUCGUAAAGCACACCACGGAUUCGAGCGUACCUUAUUAGCCACAGAUUAGACACCGACGCCAAUAAGAGGAAGAGAAUCUGGCCCUGUUCGAUCCGAUGACGCCUUGAAGGGAAGAAGAAACGUGCCCUUUUGCCUUACUGUUUCUUCUUUUUCUUUUUGAGAGAGAAUGCGCGGGAGAGGAGAAGACGUACGUCAAUUCUGCCAAGAGGUGUCUUCUCUCUCUCUCCUCCCUUUUAUACCUUCCCCCAUCCACGGGCCCUAUUCCCGUGGGCCGGGCCUUUUGGGCCCAGCAUGGGCAGACGGGCCUUAAGCCCAUCACCAAUUAAAACCAUCAUAAACCUUUGAAGAGUACAUCAAUUCAGUGGUAAGAAAUUAGUAAUUGCGUUGUUUGUGCUCUUUUUGUUUAGUUAUAUGAUGGGCAUAUGAGAUAUUUGAAAGGAGAUAAUAUCAAAUAAAGAGGGUGUGCUCGAUUACUGUUCCCCAAGCACUUCCAAGUGAUCCAGUGGAACCAUUGAACGAGAAAGACGUGGCCUCUUCGAGACGGUUAAGGAUUCAAAAUAUUGCUAAGAUUGCCAGAAGUCGUUAAGUAAGUCCUGCUAAGAUGCCAAGCGCUAAAGAAAGAAGUCCAGCAAAAUAGCUGGAUUGACGUUUUGAAGAAGGUUUAGAACUUCAUUAUACCAAUUGAAUAGCUUAACACUUAAUUUAUAUAUGAAGUUUAGGACUUGUAGUGUCAUUUUUCCUCGAAAAUAUAUAUCCUUUUUGCCAGCAAUUUAAGUAUUUGAUAUAUUAGUCAAUCAAACACCUACUUUAAUAUUAGUGAUGGAAACUGAGCCAGUAAAAGAUAAAUAGUUACUUAAAAGUAUAGAUAGAAAUUGCCAUAUGUACCAACUUUAAGUGCUAAAUUUAAAAGAUCUCCAUGUCCUCAUUCUUAUCUUCACAUAGAUCAAUUAGGGUAUCCAAUACAUUGUCCUUCCUAGCAUAAUCCGAUGCUGCCCUCAUCUGCAGCCUUCUCUGUAUCAAUCCUUCGAACAGAUCCAACAUUUGCCCAGAAUACAUCUUCAUUCGACACCUUGUGGGUCAAUCUUCUUUAGCACCAGAAAAUACUCUGCAAUGUUAGGUUUUCCGGCCUCGAUUGUGAUCCGGGAAAUGACCUUCUUGCCGGAAAAAUAUUAGAAUACAUAAAAUAAUAAUAACUAUUGGAAAUACAUUGCAAAAAAUUAAGGAAAAAAAAAAACAAAUGCUGAGGCAUGCAAGCACUGUCUAAAGAUAAUUUCGUCCUUCAGAGUACGAAACUUAGUGCAUAAGGCUUCAGCAGUUAUUCUACCAAAAUACAAUAGAGCUUCUUCUGUACUCUGUACUAAAUAUUAGAAGAAAACAAAACAACUUAUGUGUAUAACCCAGCAAAAAGAAAAUGAAAGAUAUGAGAACAUAUUGUAUCAUCAAAAAUUGUGGUUUAAAGCUUAAUUUAUAUUUAAAUAAGAGAAAGAGAGAGCUAUUAGGAAAUCGUCGUAAAUCAGUUGGUCAUUAAAAGAAUGGCCGUUAUAAAAUAAUGAAAAGUUUAUGAAAUAAUAAAUCAUAAGUUAUAAAGCCCUUAGACGAUCAUUAUAUGGCCAUUAGAAAGCCAUUACAAAAAUUAUGACUUUAAAUACGAUUAUAAUUUCUAAGAAAUAUUUCAAAACUACUUAAAUAUCCAACAAUCAUACACAUAUUUCAAAAAGUUUUGAAAAGACGAAAUAGAACAAUGUUGGGUUAUUGGAGAGUAAUGCAUCGGAACAGGUGCUUGUUGGGCUAUGAAGCAAUAUAUUCAUGGAAUAGUAGGUAAAGUUUGAAACUUCUAUGAACUAAGAAUUUCUUUUUGUAAUUUUCACCAAUCACAUUACACUCUCACAAGGUUUGUUGUCUAACACGGUUUUGCCACUGUUCUUGACUCUCUGUUAUUUAUAUGAAGCAUAUAGCUCAUGACUGAGUUAAGAUUUGACUUCUUAGUGCAUUUGCUUCUUUUAGCCAUAAAUUUAAAGAGGAAAACUACGACUAUGGUAGGACAAAAGUCACUUUCUCGGGUUACUGUUCACUGUGCUCUCUUCUUGGGCGAUUUGUUCACUGUUCCUCUUGCUGCUCGAGCAGCUGAAUUCGGACUUGCUGACUAGCGAUUGAAGCUGGUUCUUGGUGGGAAGUGGCGCCUCCUACCUGUCCAUAAAACCCACCGAAGAUGCUCCUGGUACGUCCCUCCUUAUAGACUCGCAUGGCUCUUCUAGGUUAGGUUUUUCCUUCUUGGGUUGCUGCUGCGAUUUCUUUGAUUGGGAUGGAUUGGGAGUCUGAUAGAACCCGUGUUGUGGAUGAAGGGACUAGUUCCCAUGGUCCAUCUCCUAUUACUGUUGAAGGAGCCCCGUCGACGGCUUUACCAUUGAAUAAUCAGAACCUUGGUACUGUUCAUUCUGGUAUGGAGGAGCUGCGAGAUUCCCGUGCAUCUGCUGGUGCGCAAACCGUCCGUAGGGGAAGGUCCCGAUCGGUGAAGCCUAAGGGCAGAGAUGUUGCGAAGAAUCCUUCGGGCAAGACUUGGGUGGCUGUUGCCAAAACAGUAGCCAAGGGCUACGACCUUGUCUAUACGGCCCCAACCCUGGUUAACAACAAACCCCGCAUUGAGAUAACCGACCGAGACUUGGAAGCUGCGGACCCAAAGAUGCAUGAAUGCUUAAUGGGUUACUUCCUUGGUCGCCGGAUGCCAUUUAAGGUGGUUGAGGAAGCAAUGAAGAAGGUUUGGGGCCCGAAUCUGGUGGAUGUCAUGUCGAAUGGGAAAGGUUUAUUUAUGUUCCACAUACCGGACAUAGAGUUUCGUAGGAAUCUACUUGAGGGUGGGCAGAUUCGAGUUGCUAGUGUCCCCCUUGUUCUCCAGCAAUGGACCCCGGGUCUUGAGCUGCGAAAGGAAACCCACCUUUCGGUGCCUGUGUGGGUCAGGCUUUCGAACAUACCCUUCUCUUGCUGGUCUGCCCAAUUCAUCGGGAAGAUUGCUAGUGCACUCGGGAAACCGUUGUAUGUCGACCAACGUACUGAGCAGGCGAAGAGCUUGUCUUUUGCGCGGGUUUGUAUUGAAAUCACAGCUAAUCAACCUGAUUGUGAAGUUAUUGAGACAGUACACAAUGGUAACGUAUGUGAGAUAGGUGUGGAGUUUGAAUGGAAGCCCAUUGCUUGUGCGGGUUGCGGAAUCUUUGGCCAUAAAUGUGCUGCUAAAAAUAGAUCCGCUGGUCCUUCUGAUGUUCGUGCUGUUGAAUCUCGUCCCUCGGUAGAGACUGUGCCUCAAAACCAGGCUGAUGGGGGAGUCAUUGCUUCCUCUGUUGCUGCACCAUCUAAAGUGUAUUUGGAGUCUCAAGACUUGCCUCGGGAGAAUCCUCCCCAAGCUGUUGCAAAUAAGGUAAGUGACCCAGGUACAACCUCGGAUGGUUCCUCAGCUCACGCUAUUGUUUUGGAGGUAGCGCUCCAAGCCAAUUCUUCUUCUCCAUCUCAACCUACUUCUGUGCUGAGUGAUUCUGUGUGGCAGCAAGUUAAAGGUAAGAAGAAGAAGAAGCAGAAGACUCCGGCCCUUGCGUUCUCUUUUGAACCCACCUCUCCUCCUAUAGGUGGGCAGUCUCUUAAGUUGAAGGAAGCGGUGCCUACUGAGGUUGUGCCUGUACAGAAGCCUCCUAAUCCUUCGAAGCUCUCAGUAAAGGGCAGUCUUGUGUCUUCAAACCAUGAUGCUGAUGACUCGUUACCAACUCCUGUCAUGCCCCUUGAGAACCCGGAUGAUGAAAUCACUGGUUUUGCUUCGUCUAGCGAUGAGGAUGAGAUCCCAAGCAAGCCUCCCUCUCCUAGAGCUCUUUCAGGAUCUGCUGGGUUUGGGAUACAAGACCAACUUCUCCAGCUACCUCCUGACCCGCCUGGAUCGACGCUACCAGUGGUCCCGAAGGCGACUAAAGCUAGUCGCAAGUCCUCCAAGCGGAGGUAGUUCUCUUCUUUCCUUGGAUCAUGUUUUUUGGAUUUUGGAAUAUCAGAGGGAUGAUGAACCCUGUUAGAAGGGCUGAGAUUAGGAAGUUCGUUGCUUCUAAUAGUCUUAGUUUUGUUGGCCUUUUUGAGACUAAAGUCCCUGAGCCGUUGUUUGUUUCUAUUUCGUCUACCCUCCUAAGAGGCUGGAGCUGGCUCGCGAAUUAUGAUCAUUCUUCGCGUGGCAGAAUCUGGAUUGGAUGGAACCCGGAUUCCGUUAAUUUUGAGUUGAUUUCUCUAAAUGACCAAGCUAUCCAUGGACGUUUGAAGGGGAUUUCUUCUGACUUUACGUGUUGCAUCUCUGCUGUCUAUGGGGAGCACACUUUUGUGCGUCGUAGGCCUCUAUGGGCUGACCUUAUUCUUUGUGAUGAUUUAUUUCAAGAUACUGCUUGGCUCGUUGCGGGCGAUUUCAAUGCAAUUAAGGAUCCUACAGAUCGCUUCGGGAGCUCUAAUUCUUGGAUUCCUUGCUUCGAUGACUUUAGAUUUUGCCUUGAUCAAACGGAACUUGAGGACCUUAGGUACACGGGUCUUCGUUUUACCUGGUCCACUUCUUCGGGGUUAGGCAGGAAAAUGCGGAAAAUCGACCGGGUGCUAGUCAACACUAAAUGGAGAAUGGAUUUCUCCUUUUCGGAGGCGUCUUUUCUUAAUCCCGGAAUUUCAUACCACACCCCUAUGGUAGUUAGGGUUGUUGAUCCGAGUUCGAGAAGGAAGCCCUUUAAAUAUUUUGAUUUCUGGGCUGAUCACCCUAACUUCCGUGAUUCAGUUCGUCAAGCGUGGGACAGCCAUGUUUGGGGGAGGCCCAUGUAUAAGCUGGUUUCCAAGAUGAAGAUCCUAAAGCGCCGCCUCAAAGCACUCAACCUUGAAGCCUUUUCAGACAUCUCGAUGAGGACUCUGGAAGCAAGGGAGGCCUUGCGUUCUACCCAGCUUCUUUUGCACUCGGACCCCAAUAAUAUCACUCUUGCUGAAUUGGAGAAAGGCCAGCGUCGGACUUUUGUAGAUCUUCGAGGCCAAGAAGAAUCCUUCUAUAAGCAGAAAUCCAGAGUUAGAUGGUUGAAAGAGGGUGAUCGAAACACGAAAUUCUUCCACAACUUUGUCAAAGCCAGACAUCUAAACAACCGGAUUCUCUCUGUUAAAGACAAUUCAGGUUCGGUUGUUUCAGACCCCAACUUGGUGCCGCAAGUUUUUGUAUCUUUUUUCUCGGAUCUCCUUGCUCCGCAUUCGGGUUUGACGAAGCCUACGUUGCAUGAAUUGACAUCACUUAUUCGGAAGCCUCUUUCGGAUGACCAGGUAUGUUUGCUUACUUCACCGGUCUCGGAUUCUGAGAUUAAGAAUACUUUGUUUUCGCUUGCUAAGGGCAAAGCCCCUGGCCCGGAUGGGUUCACAGCCGAAUUCUUCAAAAAUAACUGGGACAUAGUAGGGUCCUCAGUCCUUGAAGCUGUUAAAGACUUCUUCUACUCAGGUUGCCUCCUUAAGGAAGUGAAUGCAACUAUUCUGGCUCUUGUUCCCAAAGUGCCGAAUGCCUGUGAGGUUAAUGACUUUAGACCAAUUGCUUGCUGCAACACUGUCUAUAAGAUUAUCACUAAAAUUUUGGCCAACCGGAUUGCAGCGGUCCUUCAAGAUCUUGUCAGCCCGUCCCAAAAUGCGUUUGUCAAAGGAAGGAGGAUCAGAGAUAAUAUUUUGCUUGCUCAAGAACUGUUUGUUGGAUUCCACCUUGACCCAUAUCUUCCAAAAUGUGCGGUCAAAGUAGAUUUUCGCAAGGCUUAUGAUACAAUUGAUUGGGAUUUCUUGGAACUUACUCUUGAAGCUUUCCGUUUUCCUCAGUGGAUUAUCCGGUUGAUUAUGGUCUGCGUGCGUACACCCAAAUUCUCGAUCUCUAUUAAUGGAGAGCUCCACGGAUUCUUUCCUGGAGGUAGAGGUCUUCGGCAGGGAGACCCAAUGUCACCGUAUCUCUUUACAUUAGUUAUGGAAAUCUUCUCUGGGAUUUUGAACCUAAAGACUUCUGUCAAGGAAUUCAAGUUCUACUGGAGGUGCAAGGCUCCUAAGCUUUCUCAUCUGUUUUUUGCUUAUGAUGUUUUCCUUUUUUGCCAAGCGGAUUGGAAUUCGGCAGUAAUUCUCAAGAGAAGCUUGGACAUUUUUUCAUCAUGGAGUGGACUGAUUCCGAACAAGAGUAAAUCUGAUAUCUUCUUGUCGGGUGGGACGCCAUUGUUGCGGAAUAGUAUCCUUUUAGAGUUUGGUUUUCGAGAAGGCAAACUUCCGGUUUGUUACCUAGGGGUGCCGAUAAUCUCAUCAAGGUUGGGAAAGGCGGAUUGCCUUCAGUUGAUUAACCGUAUUACGGCUAGAGUUCAUUCUUGGGCUCAUAGAUUUUUAUCGUUUGCCGGGAGGCUCCAGCUUAUAAGGUCAGUUCUCCACUCGAUUCAAGCUUUUUGGGCUAGUGUGUUUACUUUGCCGUCCUCAGUCAUUUUAGGUAUUGAAAGCAUUCUUCGUCGAUUUCUGUGGAAGGGCUCCUCCCUCGAUAAGGGGGGGGUUAAAGUUUCGUGGUUGGAUGUUUGUGUGCCUAAGGAUGAAGGAGGAUUGGGUAUACGGUCUGUGAAGGACUGCAACAAAGCCUCUAUGCUUAAAUAUAUUUGGAUCCUCUUUACAGACAAAGAAUCUUUGUGGUGUCGGUGGAUCCAUUCAAAUUUCUUAAAGAAGCAUAAUUUUUGGGUAGCCCCUCAACCGUCUGUUUGCUCUUGGGGCUGGAAGAAAAUUCUUCAACUUCGUAGUGGGUUUAGGCAGUCGUUUGGCUGGGAAGUUGGGAAUGGGCAGUCAAUCUCAUUAUGGUUCGACAACUGGAUGCCUUGUGGCCCUCUCUAUUCACUGGUCCCUGACUCCUUCUUGAAUGACCCAUACCUUCCUGUGCAUGCGGUUGUGGCGACUCUCUACUCUCAUGCAGCUACUCCCUCCAGAUUACGACUGGAGGAUUGGGGUCUCUCAUUUCCGACCCUCUCUUCGGCCUAUGACCGGUUUGUUUGGCGUGUAGACCCUUCGGGAUCGUUUUCUGUGGCCUCCGCGUGGAACUCCAUCAGAGUCAGGAAGAUUCGAGUCCCCUGGGCUCCUCUUGUCUGGGAUGGGGCCUUGGCCCCUCGUUUUCAAUUUUUGAUGUGGCUCAUCAUCAAGAAUCAUCUGCCAACACAAGUGCGUCUUCUUGCUUUUGGCAGAAUUGAUCACUCGGUCUGUAUCUUCUGCAAGUCCCAGCCGGACUCUAUUGACCACCUUUUCUUCGAAUGCAACACCUCAGCUACUCUAGUUUACUUUUGGGCUUCUAGAUGCAAUUUGCCAUGGAGAAAUGGCACUUGGGUGGACAACCUUUACUGGGCUAUGAAGUUUCUAGUGGGUAAGGAUUUCUUUCAUAGCAUCGCUCGGUUUUCCUUUGGAGCUUUGUGUCAUCUAAUCUGGAAGAAAAGGAAUGACAUGAUAUUUCGAGGAGAUACCUUAGCUAUUUCUGCCCUCAAGAACCACCUGUUUAAGGUGGUCAAAGAUAAGGCCAUUACAUAUAAGAAUGUCCCUGACACUCCAAGGAAUCGUCGCCUUCAGAGAGGUUGGGGUUUUGACCCGUCAGUUUUCGUUAAUCCUCCGGUGUUUUGAGCUGUCGGGUGUGGCACUUUCCAGCGAUCUUCCCCUAGUGCGUGGAGGUUCGGUUGAAGUUGUUGUGCCUGUUGCUUUGUGUUUUCUUUUCUUGUACUGUCGUCUGGCUUGAUUGCGGCCCCCUUCCACUCUCCCUGUUUUUAUGCAGCUAGAGUGAAAGUUUUUGGCGCCGUUUGUACUUUUGUCCUAAGCUCAGUAAUAUAUUCUUACCUUUACCAAAAAAAAAAAAACUACGACUAUGGUUGGUUCUUUAGGGGAUAGUUUUGGAAACUGAUGGCGUUAAAGAGAUGGUUUGGAUAGAAAGUACAAAGCUUGAACCUACUUCCAGCUAGGUGACAUGUCUUGUAUAAGUUUUACGGAUUAAGCUGCUCGAAAGAGGAAAUAGCUAGUUAUGUAAGUUCCAGGGACUUUGACGCGAGAUUGGAUAGCGUGUUCAAUUGUUUCAACCGGGUUUUUUUCUCGGGACAAUUUUGAACCAGUUCAUUCACAAAUUUUUGAACUUCAGUCUUAUUAAGCAGCAAAACAUAUCCGAGGACCAUAUAACAUGAAAAUUCUACUUGAUGGCCAAAGGGUGACUUGAGAAUUUUCUUUUUGUAAAUAUAUUUGCAAAAUGUUUCCUUCUCUUUAAGUCAUUUUAAAUUGUACCGGGAUUCAAAUGAUGAUGAUGAGCAGGAAAAAACUCAAGAAGAAUUUCUGGAAAGAUAUGCCAAAGCUGCGAUUGAUCUUAAAGAUGGUAAUGCCAUUGGAGAGGGAGAUGUCGAAAAUGAAGACCUUGAGCCUGAUUUGGGUAAAGUUCCUUGUUCUACUUGUAAGCUGUGCGAAAAAAAUCGUGGUUUUAGUUACAAACUUAUCUGCUUGAAAGAUUUCACCACCUGAUUGUCUAAGUCACUUACAAUGGACACUAUCAUGCAUUAGAAAUCGAUGAGAUGUAACUUCCCUGCUUUGAUCAUAAUCACAAGCUUCAGGAGUCUCCUGCGGUCGUUAGAUAGCCGUAAAUUAGAAUCUUCGUAGUGCUCUCGAUGGCUGCUUUUUUUAGGCCUUCCUUUUGGAGGUACUAUCAGCUUUAAGGUUCGUUAGUUAGCUCGUUUGGGACACAGAAUAGGUAUGAAGGGUUUGCCAAAGGGCCUGAUGGACUUUUUAAUCCCAUGACAUCUGUCCUUAACAUCUUCCUAUAACUAGUUAAUUAUUAGCAGGGAAGUGGCAUGCGAGGCAGCCAAGUGCAGGCGUAAUAGUUCUUGGCCCCCCUUAGGUUUGCAUAGAAUUCAGAUUGCACUCGGGGAAACUGCCUCAGAACUUUUUUGGGAAUUCCCAGUACGGUUUUUGUUGCAUGAUGUGAUGUCUCUUGUGCAGAUGUUUCGAUUUUUUCAGUGAAAUGAGUUUUCUAUUGGAGAAUUGUGUCCACAAGGUUAAUCCGAGGGAUGAUUUGGACGCUAUGUGGGGUGUUUUUCUUUUUUCCUGUUUAGCAAUUUUCAUGCUCAGGGUAAACUCUGAUAAUCUUGCUAAUCGAUUUGUCUGUAUAAUACAAAAUAGGCCAUCUGGAGGAGGUCGAUCACCAUCGACUCGUCUUCUCAUUGAUAGAAAGAAAUCAAGAAGUCCUCCUUAAAGGGCAGGUGCCACCUCCGCUCGUUUGGACUUCGCACGGUGCCUUCCCCAAGCAGUUUUCGUUGUUGCUGUAGUACAGAUGAAAAAGUUAAAUGAACUUUCCUGCAUUCGAGUGGAGUAGAGAAGUUUGAUCCCGACUCGAUUGAUUUCUACUUAGGGGCGGUCUCUGCCUCGAGAUAAAAGAUUAUUUAAGAUAUAGCCGCUGAGAGGAACUGUAGAGUGCAGAGUGUCAAUGGUUUGUAAUCUCAACAACCAUGUUUUGUCACAAGGUUUGAUUUUUAUUGAAUGCUGCUGGGAUGGCAUCCCGGAGCAAGACUCCAUAUGAAAUAACAUGUGGGUAAAGAAUCCUCAGUGUUUUAACAAUGCGCUCAUAUCAUUUAGUAAACAAAUUUCAGCGCACUUUCUUAGUACAUAUUGCCUUUCUCAAGCGCAUAUAUGCUCUAACUGUACCACCAUUAUGUAUGUCCACCUGGCUUUAACUGUGGUGGAAUGGUAUUGUUUAUGUAGUCAUUUUCUUAAAUAUUAAACUUCCUCACUCCCAAUGUCAUGAAACAUUUAGUCAAUUUUACCGGGCGACAUGUUAACACAAGAACUACAAGGCCUUACCACCGAGUUCAUAGGACUCGGAUUCAAACAUGAAUCCAAUAUAUAUAUAUAUAUAUAUAUAUAUAUAUAUAUAUAUAUAUAUAAACAUGUUUCAAGCAAUAAAACAUUGAAAAUAAAACGUCGCCAAGAACAUUGAAACUACUGAUAUAUAUAUGUGUGUGUGUGUGUGUGUGUGUGUGAACCUACGGAUGUUUUAUGAGGGACAUGGGCGGUGCCGAGGUGGAAAUUUUCAUCCUGGACAUGGGCAGUGCCAAGGCGGACCCACUCGAUGUUGAGGCGGACGAGGCGGACCCACUCAAUGCCGAGGUGGAUGAGGUGGACUCACUUGAUGUCGAGGCGGCCAUGGGCGGUGCUAGUGCCGAGACAUAAGCUGGCGAUGUCGUGCCGGACAUCUGCACGGCGGUUUGAAGAGCAAAGGCGGACAUUGGCGGUGGCGGUGGGGAAGUCAGCGUGGACAUUAGAAAAGCAAAGGCCGGUGUCGGUUUCGAUUCCGGUGGUGGUGUCCGAACCUUGUUGAGAUCAAAGGGCCUCCAAAUUUUGUGUUCCUACGCAAAAGCUUCCUGCUGGUGCUGGCAUCAGAAGGAACGUCUGAAGGCAAAGAAUCAGAGCAAGAGCGUCAGACAAAAGCACGAGAUGGACUACUACAAGGGUAAGGGUGCACGACUCUCAGUAUUUAUGGGAAGGAGGAUUGAU
rnacentral:lncRNA from 1 species